rnacentral:lncRNA from 1 species
GAUAAUUAAGCUACAGUAAAACUCUGUUAAUGAUGCCACGUCACCUCCGUUACUGUUGCUAAUCUCUUGUUAGAUCAAAACCGAUUCGAAGUAUCAAUUCAAAAUAUGGCAAACAACAAAAGUUUUCAAAACAUUGUAACAAAAAAUUUCGGUGGGUGCCCAAUAUUGCACUGGUAAUUAUUGUGGAGAAAACUCAUUUUUAGAAAUUGCCUAAAUAUUUGAAAAUGAUUUAAAACAGAAAAGAAAAUAAAUAAAAGGAAAAUAAUAAAAAACAGAAAACAAAACAAAAGAGAAAUAGAAAAGCCCCCCACUGGGCUCCGGCCCAGCAGGCCACCGACCCAACUGGGCAAAGGCCAACCGGACCAGCCCCCUGCCAUCCUCCUUUCCAUUUCCCCCGACAGGGUCAGAACAGGGGCGCGUCCCCGCCCGACCACCUCGCCGGCACCGACACCGGGAGGGGAUUAGGCCGCCACGCCCCGCCUCCUCAGUUCCUUCUUCCUCUCACCCGCACUCCCUCUCGGCCCCUUCGCCUCCCCUCCCCUCAGAUCCACCUCGCCGCUCCUCCUUCCCCAUCGCAUCCGAGCGCCGCCACGGGCUCUCCACCGUGAAAUGUGCGGCCACCGUCAUCUCCUCACCUCGCCAACGUGUCCGUCGUCUCCACCAUCGUCUUCCUCGUCGACCAGUGGCCGAAGCUAGAGCUUGGAGGCGCUGCUGCACCGGUUCCUCUUCUUCCACAUCUCCAGUCGCCACCGCUCUUCACCAACUCCGGCGACGUAACGGCAGGUCCUAAACCACCAUGGGCCAUUGUGUGAGCCGCUCGAUGAGCUCGUCCACCUCCUUCUCCUUCCCAUUAGCUCCCUCGCGCGCCGCAGCUAGCUUGCCACUGCGCCCGUAAUCUGUCCGCCGCCAACGAGCUCAUGGCCGUCGCCACAGCCGUCAUCAUGCUCGCCUGAGCCCGUCAGCGUGCUCCUGGCGCUUCCAGGAACCCAACGCACCCGUGCACGCGCUUCCCCGUGGCCCUUAUGCCCUAGCUCAUCGAGCUCCCGUAUGCGUCGCCGCCCACGCUCAUCGCCGGCAGCCGUCCGGUGACCAUUUGGUCCCGGGCUCGUGUCGUUGUGCUCGCGCGUGCACAUAGGGCUCGCCUCGUCUCUCAGUUUGCUCGCUAAUGCGUUGCAUCGCCAUUUCCUCUCGCGCCCGACUCCGGCCGUCCGCCGAUGAGCUCACCGCGCUCGACAUCGGUCACCCCUGUCGCCACAACCACCACUGUUCGACGCGCGAUGCCGAGCCGCGUUGAACGCGCCCAACCAUAGCCCACCGACCCCUGUGCGCGAAAUCCGCACCCCUCUCAUGUCGCACCACCGCAUUUUGCCUCACCAAUGUCGCUCCAGCGCCGUCCGCCAACGUGGCUAGGCGGGCCCCACCCUUGGGUCACUGCCAGUGGGCCAUGGGGGCCCCGUUGACUUGGUUGACCCAGUCAACAUGCUGACUGGUUAGCCCAGUGGCACUGACAUGCGGGCCCACCACGUAAUUAAACUAAUUAAAACGUUUUUAUAAAUAAAACUAAUUAAUUAACCUAAACAGUCACUGGCAUGUGGGGCCCUACUGCUAAUUAACUCUGACUAAUUAAAAUAAACCCUUGUUAGCCCCACUGUCUAUGACGAGUGGGCCCCAUUCGUCAUUUUGACCAGUCAAACAGUGUGUUGACUGCUGAUGUCAUCCCCACGCAAUGCUGAUGUCAUAAUUCCAUUUCUGUUAAUUCAGAUAAAUUCAGAAAAUGAUUAAAACUUUAGAAAAACAUAGAAAAUAAACUGUAACUCGGAUGAGAAUGUUUUCUACAUGAAAGUUGCUCAGAACGACGAGAUGAAUGCGAAUACGCAGCCCGUUUGUCCGCCACACAUCCCUAUCAUAGCAAACACGUAACUUUCCCCCUCUUGUUCAUUUGUCAGAAAACAUGAAACACCGGGAAUACUUUCUCGGAUGUUUUCCCCCUUCGCCGGUAUCACCUCCUACCGCGUAAGGGCACACCUAGCAACGCUCAUUGUCAUGUCAUGCAUCGAUAUGCAUCUGUUUGCAUUUAUUCAUUGUUUCUUCCCCCUCUUCUCCUCGGUAGACUAGAGACUGACGCUGCUGAUGGUGCCCUGAUCAACUAUGUUGUUGAUGACCCCUACUUGCCAGAGCAACCAGGCAAGCCCCCCUGAUCACCAGAUAUCGCCUAUUCUUCUCUCUACUGCUUGCAUUAGAGUAGUGUAGCAUGUUACUACUUUCCGUUAAUCCUAUUCUGAUGCAUAGCCUGUCAUUGUUGCUACAAUUGUUGAUACCUUACCUGUAAUCCUAAAUGCUUAGUAUAGGAUGCUAGUUUAUCAUCAGUGGCCCUACAUUCUUGCCAGUCUGCCAUGCUAUAUUAUCGGGCCGUGAUCAUGUCGGGUGUUGAUCACAGGUAUAUACUAUACAUAAUACACAUGAUAUAUGUUGUGACUAAAGUCGGGUCCGCUCUUUGAGUACCCGAAGUUGAUUCACAAAUUCGGGGUUGAAAGGACAUACUUUCCCGACGACCCUCUGUGUGGAUCUUUGUGGCGGAGUGACAGGGCAGGUUGAGACCACCCAGGAGAGAGGUGGGCCUGGCCCUGGUCGGCGUUCGUGGUUACUUCAAGAUAACACGCUUAACGAGAUCUUGGUAUUUGAUCUGAGUCUGGCCACUGGCCUAUACACACUAACCAACUACGCGGGAACAGUUAUGGGCAUUUGACGUCAUGGUAUCAGCCGAAGCCUUCGUGACGUCAGUGACUGAGCGGCGCACGCCGGGUUGGACCGCAUAACACAACUUCCUCUGUAAUGGAGGUUGCUAGGUCUGCUCACCGGCCGCGCACGCAACGUGUAGGUGUGCAAUGGACGAUGGGCCCAGACCCCCGUGCCAUAGGAUUUAGACCGACGUGCUGACCUCUCUGUUGUGCCUAGAUAGGGCUGCGACGUGUUGAUCUUCCGAGGCUGGGCAUGACCCAGAAAAGUGUGUUCGGACAAAGGGGAUCGAGCGUGUUGGGAAAUGUGGUGCUGUGAUAGCCUGGCUUAUUAGGGAUGAUAGACUACUCAUAUCAAUAAGGAAUUCCUUCUUUUUCGGGAGCCCAUUCAGACAGAACUCCAAAGUUAAGCAUGCUCAGUUUGGAGUAGUGUCAGGAUGGAUGACCGACCGGGAAGUUGCUCCCGGGUGCGCACGAGUGAGGUCAAAGUGCACAGAAAAGACUAGUAUUGAUCUAUGGGGCCAGUAUAGAUCCCGCUAGGAGUAACGACCAUCGAUGGGUGUGUCCGAGGCGUUACAAGUUGGUAUCAGAGCCGACCCUCGCGGUUACACGGAUGGUUGUGGACAGGUGCGUGGUCAUGUUGUUCAUGACGUUUGUGACCCGUCGUGGCACCCGGCAUGGCACAUGUACCGGACUGGAAGCACAGACGUUUGUGCCAAGAGGGAACGUUCCUGUGGCCCGACGAGGACGUCAGUUCCUCUGAGUGGGGGUGUAUGUGAUAGCCUGGCUUAUUAGGGAUGAUAGACUACUCAUAUCAAUAAGGAAUUCCUUCUUUUCCGGGAGCCCAUUCAGACAGAACUCCAAAGUUAAGCGUGCUUAGCUUGGAGUAGUGUCAGGAUGGGUGACCGACCGGGAAGUUGCUCCCGGGUGUGCACGAGUGAGGUCAAAGUGCGCAGAAAAGACUAGUAUUGAUCUGUGGGGCCAGUCUAGAUCCUGCCAGGAGUAACGACCACCGGUGGGUGUGUCCGAGGUGUUACAGGUGCACCCCUGCAGGGAAGUUGAUCUAUUCGAAUAGCCGCAUCCCUUGGUAAAAGGAUGACCCGGAGUUGUACCCUGACCUUAUGACAACUAGAACCAGAUACUUAAUAAAACACACAGUUCCAAGUGCCAGAUACAACCCGGUGAUCGCCCUCUAACAGGGCGACGAGGAGAGGAUCGCUGUGUAGGAUUAUGCUAUACGAUGAUACUUGGUGAACUUACCAUCUAUUCUCUUCUACUGCUUCAAGAUGGAGGCUGCCAGAAGCGUAGUCUUCGAUAGGACUAGCUAUCCCCCCUCUUAUUCCGAUAUUAUGCAGUUCAGUCCACAUAUACUACCCCCUUUCAUUGAUAAAAAUGCAUAUGUAGUGUAGCUCCUUGCUUGCGAGUACUUUGGAUGAGUACUCACGGUUGCUUUGCUCCCCUUUCCCCCCUUUGUAUAUCCGAUUGUUGCGAUCAGACCUUGGAGUGCAGGAGCCAGAUGCUACUGUCGAUGAUGACUGCUACUACUCGGGACAUGCCUACUACUAUGUGCAGGCCACUGACGAUGACGAGGAGUAGUUUAGGAGGAUCCCAGUCAGGAGGCCUGCGCCUCUUCCAAUCUGUAUCCCAGUUUGUGCUAGCCUUCUUAAGGAAAACUUAUUUAACUUAUGCCUGUACUCAGAUAUUGUUGCUUCCGCUGACUCAUCUAUGAUCGAGCUCUUGUAUUCGAGCCCUUGAGGCCCCUGGCUUGUAAUAUGAUGCUUGUAUGACUUAUUUUAUUUGUAGAGUUGUGUUGUGAUAUUGUCCCGUGAGUCCCUGAUCUUGAUCGUACACGUUUGCGUGUAUGAUUAGUGUACGAUUGAAUCGGGGCAUCACAAGUUGGUAUCAGAGCUGACUGCCUAUAGGAAUCCCCCUUCCACACUCCUUGGCUGAAGUCGAGUCUAGACAUUGCAAAACUUUUUACUAACAUGGUUGUGUGUCUUACGGGCCCAUGUCGCCAAUUGGGUGGUAUUAGGAUCUUUUACUCCUCGAUCCUUACUCUGGGACUCUGAACUCUCUUCUACUCGGGUUAAACAAAUUUACUAACUCUAACAUUAGGAUCCCAUGACCAUGUUCACCCAAAAGUUGGAUAAGCCCUAGUUAUUUCUUAGAAUAGUAUAUUGAACAAUAUCCACACUGUCAUUUGACUCCUUUGAAACAUCUUUGUUUUCAGAUGGAACCCACGAGGCAGGUCGUGCGCCACACAACGGCCAUUGGUGUCUCGGGAUCACUUGCUCUGUUAGCUGAGAUGAUAACCUAUCUGGGUUAUCGCUGGCACCCUGAGUACACCGUCUACGAGGAGUACCAGGACUUUAACCAGGAGCAGUACCGUGCCAUCGUCCACCUCUACUCUCGGGAGUAUGACUCCACUACCGUGCUGCACACUACUCAUGGUGUUGGAGUGACUAUCGACAUGGCAGUCCACGAUGCUGCUUAUGCUGCUCUGACACGUCUUUGUGAAGAGUAUCGGGAGUUGGACACCUCCCCUUUCAGGCACAUUGCUAUCGCAUCCAAUGUUGGUGCGGAGGGAUACUACACUGCUGCCUACUCCACUGUCAACCGAGAGCCCUUCUACCAUCAGAACCUGGUUCUGCAUGCUGAUGGGCUAGAUAGAGCUAACUGAGCUCUUUGCCAUGAGUUGUACACCACCUGUCAGCACCUGUACUGUGCUCUAACACUAUUGCACCCCUUGUCCGAUCUGGUGAUCUGUCGCGUUCUGUGAUCUACCCUGCCAGGACAGUGAUGCCCUAGGGUGUCGGCUGACCAGAUGUUCGAGGCUACUCUCCCACACUUGGUCCUCUUCUGCCACUUGCGCAUCGGGUUCUGCACCAGAGUAUCCGUGGACCCCAGGCUACUGACAUGGAGGACUUCCCGUCGCAUCACUAGCAGCUGGCCGGCUACACCUACCUCCACAGUUCCUCUUAGGGUUGAUGUAGGCUUGCUUGUUAGUGUUAGAUGCAUUCGCCGCGAGCCUGCGUGCCGCCUAUGAUGUCUUUAGUCUAUGUACUGAACUCUAUGUACCGAACUCUAUGCAUGAUCCCUUUUGUAAGAUAUGCCGACUACUAUGUAGUAUCUACCGUGCUUCUUUCAUUGUGCAUUCUUCAUCCUGAAUGAUGUUUGUCUUUGCAAAUUUCUCAAUGCUGAACUACCCUUGUUAUAUUUUAGCAAGGUGGUUAGACCAGGUGGUCGUGGUCGUGGUGGCCAUCCCCCACCACCGCCUGAGUACAUGGCGAGGAUGAUGCAACAGUUCGAUCUGAAUCGCCAGUUCAUGGAGAAUAUUAUGGCUUAGUUUCCUCGCCCCAAUAUGAACCAGCAGCCAGCCCAAGUGACUCUGCAGGAUUUCAUGCGCCUCAACCCAACUGUGUGCCACAUCUCAACUUAGCCUCUGGAUGCUAAUGAGUGGCUCCGUGACAUCACCUAUGAGAUGGAGUCUGCUGAUGUAGCCCCUGCCAGCUAUGUCACCUUUGCUUCCUUCUUCUUGAAGGGACCCGCUGCUCAAUGGUGGGAUAGCCACAGGCGUACUCUGCCGGUUGGAAAAAUCAUCACUACAAAAAAAGACACAUCCGUGACAUUUUGGGCCAAACGAUUUUUUUCUAUCAUACAUAUGACACUUCUAUGAUGAUAAUUGUGCCAAAACCCGGUAUCAUCAUAGAUGUGGUGGGCUCCUACUUCUAUGACAAAAAAUCAUGACAUAAAAUGGUCUUUUCAUCCUGGGCGGGCCGGAGACGCAGCUGCAUGACAUUCUUUGGGCCGUCCAUGACGGAAAAAACCGUGGUAGAAGCGAGGGCGAGGAAAAUUUCGGGGAGUUCCCGGUUACAGUGGGAGGUCGGGGGCCGAGCGAUGCGUGUUUCUCUCGUACACGUACGAGCGUGUGUGCGAGGCGUUGGCUCUAACUGAACCCGAGCAAGGCGUUGGGCUCUAACUGAACCCCAGCGAUUGCACUGCAGGCUAUGCGUUAUUGAACCCGAGCGAUCUAUCGAUGGCUGUUAACUGAACCCGANNNNNNNNNNNNNNNNNNNNNNNNNNNNNNNNNNNNNNNNNNNNNNNNNNNNNNNNNNNNNNNNNNNNNNNNNNNNNNNNNNNNNNNNNNNNNNNNNNNNNNNNNNNNNNNNNNNNNNNNNNNNNNNNNNNNNNNNNNNNNNNNNNNNNNNNNNNNNNNNNNNNNNNNNNNNNNNNNNNNNNNNNNNNNNNNNNNNNNNNNNNNNNNNNNNNNNNNNNNNNNNNNNGUGGAGGCUGGAUGAACAGGAGCCCAUGGAGGCUGGAGGAGGUCGACGGUAGCCCGUCGAGGCUGGAGGAGGUCGACGGUGGAGAUGAACAGUAUCCCGUGGAGUCCCGUUUUGCGGUAUGCCACACCCCUCCCGAUGAACAGGACCCCCGUUUCGAUUGUAGGAGGUCUGUUUCGUCCGUUUUGCGGUACGCCACACCCCUCCCGAUCAACAGGACCCCCGUUUCGACCGUAGGAGGUCCAUUUCGUCUGUUUGGGGGUACGCCACACCCCUCCCGAUCAACAUGACCCCCGUUUCGACCGUAGGAGGUCUAUUUCCUCCGUUUUGCGGUACGCCACACUCGUCCCGAUCAAUAGGACGCCGUUCCGAACAUAGGAGGUCUGUUUCCUCCGUUGUGCGGUACGCCAGGCCUCGUUUCCAUCGCAUGUUCCGUCCAAGCCCUCCCGAUGAACACGACCACACAUUCCUUUCCGACCCAGCCGGUUGGCUCCCACGCGUUCCGUUGCCUCCCGAUGAACAUGACGGAUUCCGUUGCCUCCCCAUGAACACGACGCAUUCCGUUGCCUCCCCAUGAACACGACGACAACGCUGUUUCUUUGUUCCGACCCAACCAUGUACACGAGCCCUGGCCAUACGUAUGCGCGAGUAGGCGUUUGAGACCCCGCUCGUAUGUACAUAUGUGGCCGUAUUUUCUUUCUUGCACCCUGGCCGCUGUACGUACGUGUACAUGCUACGUGCGCGCCUCUACUACGACACGUAUGCGCCUCUACUACGACACGUGCGCGCCUCUACAUCCACCAGUAUAUAUGUACGUACACGUUCGCGACCAGAAUGACAACGCUACGUACGCUUCGACCAGGUGGGUCCCGACUAUCAGACACUUCCUUGCCUGCGAAGAUGUAGCUGGUGGGUCCCAGCAGUCAGGGGGGCGAAUCGUUUUUUUGCCUGGACGCACUUCCUUGUGUGCGAAGAUGUAGCUGGUGGGUCCCACCAGUCAGGGGCAAACAUUUUUUCGUGAAAUACGGUGGCCCGUCUGGUGGGUCCCCGCUGUCAGGUGGAGGAAUAAUUAUUCUGCACACAAUAAGGAGGCACUUCCUUGCUGCGGCCGUGGACCCAGCUGUUAGCCUCUCCACGUAUAGUCCACGUCCGAUAGAAUCCGUUCCUUGACCACGUUGACCACGCCGCACCGAGAGCACCAGGGCGGUGGACGACGGCGAGGCCUAGGAAGGGGAUGACACGGAGCCGGGGAAGACGCGACAGUGGAUGCCCAUGCGUAGAGGAGUACGAGGGUUCACUGGUUUGCUGCGGUGUGAGGCUAUCGUCGUCGCAUAAUAACAGGGGGUGUGGGUGAGUAGAGGGAUGGCCUGGCCAGCAGUGGGAGUAGUAGGGGGCGGUGAGGCCUCCGCCGCAUCGCAGCCGGCCACGGGAGGCAGGAGCACGAGGCACAACCGGUGCUGGUUUGGGCGGCUGGAGCAAGAAGACCAGAGGUUGAAGAAGCACUACGGCCAUUGGAUGGACAUCGUACGGUCACUGGAGCUAGAAUCGUGCAUAUUGACUAAGUUGACAAAGCCCUCCGUCCCCGUCAACUUAGUAGGCCACAAGUCAGCCUGCCACUAUACUGGGUCCCAGCUAACACGGGGAGUAUUCAUUUUUUUGUGCGUAAUAAGGAGGCACUUACUUGCGUGCGAAGAUAUAGGUGGUGGGUCCGAGCUGUCAGCGGCGGUAACGUUUUUUUCGCGAAUUACAGAGGAACUUUCGGUGGGUCCCUGAUGUCAGGUGGAGGAAUCAUCAUUUUGGGCGUAAUAAGGAGGCAUUUCCUUGCGUGCGGCCGUGGACCCAGUUGUCGGCCUCUCCACGUACAGUCCACUUUAGAUGCAUGUCGGUCGUUGACCACGUUGACCAGGCCGUGCCGAGAGCACCAGGGCGGUGGACGACGGCGAGGCCUGGGAAGGGAACGACACGGAGGCAGGGAAGACUCGACAGUUGUUUCCCACGCGGAGGGGAGUACGACUGUACGAGGGUUUAUUGGUUCGUCUGCCGUGGCCAGAGAAUAACAACAGGUGUGGGUGAGUAGAGGGAUGGCUAGGCCAGUGAUGGGAGUACGGUGGGGCGGUGAGGCCUGCGCGGCAGCAGAGCCGGCCGCGGGGAGGAGGGAGCAGGCAGUCCCGCCGGUGCUUGUUUGAGCGGCUGGAGCAGGAAGAGCAGAGAUUGAAGAAGCACGACGGCCAUUGGAUGGCCAUCCAACAGUCACUGCUUGUGCGUCAACCUUUUUUUAAGAAAGCCUUAAAUCUAUGGAAAACAACGUACAUCCCAUCUGCCAUUAUUUCUAAUAAUUUACAGCCCAUUUGCUAAUUAUUAAGGUUUUUUUGGAUCCCAUAUUCUUUUUGUUAGCAUUACAGCCCAUAUUGUGGCCAUGGUUAAAAAAUUAUACGAAAUUUUGCUUAUUUUGGUGCGGUCCAAACUAUUUUUAGUCCCGAAAUUUCAACUCACAUUCAAACUGAUUUUAAAAAUAAAUGUAUAUCAAUAUAAAAUCCAACAAAUUCUCCAUGCAUAAACAUUAAUGUAAUUUAAAAUCUCAAAAUAAAAAAAGAUAUUUGAAACUAAUUGCCGGUUUUAUGUGUUUUAAAAAUGUACAACCCAUUUCUCAUUACUGAUGGGCCAUUUUCUCGGCCAGCCGAAUGAAAGCUCUCCUUGUCUUGAAAGAUUUGCAGCCCAACAUGCCUGACAAAGCAACUUACUUGGAAAAUCACAAAAAAACUGGCCUGUGGCUGUGGACCCAGCUAUCAGCCUCUCCUCAUACAGUACUCUUCCGAUGGAAGUCGUUCCUUGACCAUGUUGACCACGCCGCGUGGAGAGCACCACAGCGGUGGACGACGGCGUGACCUAGGAAGGGGACGACGCGGAGCCGGGGAAGAUGCGGCAGUGGAAGCCCAUGCGGAGAGGAGUACGAGGGUUCACAGGUUCGGCUGCGGUGUGAGGCUGCCGUCGCCGUAGGGCCUGGCCAGCGGUGGGAAUAGUAGGAGGUGGUGAGGCCUCCACAUCAGCAUAGCCGGCCACGAGAGGCAGGAGCAUGCGGCACGACCGGCGCUGCUUUGGGCGGCUGGAGCAAGAAGACCAGAGGUUGAAGAAGCACUACGGCCAUUGGAUGGACAUCGUACGGUCACUGGAGCUAGAAUCGUUCAUAUUGACUAAGUUGACAAAGCCCUUCGUCCCCGUCAACUUAGUAGGCCCACAAGUCAGCCUCCCACCAAGGUGGGUCCCAGCUAGCCGUGGGAGUAUUCAUUUUUUGUGCGUAAUAAGGAGUCACUUCCAGUGGGUCCGAGCUGACAGUGGGGGAAACAUUUUUUUCACGAAAUACGGUGGCCCGUCAGGUGCGUCCCAGCAGUCAGGGGGCAAACGUUUUUUCACAAAAUACGGUGGCACGUCCAGUGGGUCCCUGCUGUCAGUUGGAGGAAUCAUUAUUUUCCGCGUAAUAAGGAGGCACUUACUUGCUGCGGCCGUGGACCCAGCUGAGACUCUCCAUGUACACUAUACUUCCGAUGGAAGUUGUUCCUUGACCACAUUGACCUCACCGCGUUCCGUUGCAUGCAUGCGUCCAUGGGCGUGGUGCGUCCCCACUGUCAGCCUCUCACGUAUAGUCAUCUUCCAAUGACUCUCGGUUACUGACCUAGUUGACCACACCGUGCCGAGCGCACCCAGACUGGAACGACCCGGAGAUGGGGAAGACGGGGCAGUGGAGUCGCAGAUGGAGAGGAGUGGGAAACUUCACUGGUUUGGGUGCGCGGCAGCACAGCCGCGGUGCUGCCCACGGGAGACAGGAGCAAGAACAGAGGUUGAAGAAGGAGCACGGCUGUUGGACUAACAUCCAACGGUCCAGCUGCUAGACUCAUUUGUUGAUUAAGUUGACAAAGCCGUGCGUACACGUCCGCUUAGUAGGCCCUCAAGUCAGUCACCAAAUCUGACGGGUCCCAGCUGUCAACGGGAUGAAUAAUUUUUUUCACAAAACAAGGAGGCACUUCCUUCCGUGCGAAGAUAGAGCCGAUGGGUCCCAGCUGUCAGGUGGAGGAAACAUUUUUUUCAGCUUAAUAAGAAGGAACUUUCCUUGCGUGCGACCAUGGACCUCAUGGGUCCCAGCCGUCAGGCUCUCCACGUACAGUCCUCUUCCGAUGACUCUUGUUUGUUGACCACGCCGCACCGAACGCAGUGAGGCGGUGGACGAUGGUGAGGCCCCAGACGGGAACGUCUCAGAGAUGGGAAAACGCAGCAGUGGAGUCGCAGAUUGAGAGGAGGAGAAGGGUUAUAACUGGUUCUGUUGCAGCGUGGGGAUGUAGUUUGUGGAGAAUAACAGGAGGUGUUGAGGGCUGGAGGGAUAGCCUGGCCGGCGGUGGGUAGCGCUUCGCAGUGAUGCGUGCUAAGCAGAGCCGCUAGCUGCCGGAGGCCGGACAAGGCGGUCUCGGCAACGCUGGAGGAAGAAGACGAGAGAUUGAAGGUGCAUGCCGGCCGUUGGAUAUAAAUCCAAUGGCUGUGGAUGACACAAUCAUUUGUUGACCAAGUUGACAAUGCCCUGCAUAGGCUUCGACCUAUUGGCCCACAUGUCAGCCUGCAAAAAUGUGGCAUAUAUUUAACCCAUGUUUUCUAGAAUGUACAGUCCAUUUGCUGGGCUGAGUGAACAAAUAAUUUCGUGUCAAUCAGGCCCAUUUAUAUUUUCUAAGAAAUCCCAGCCUAUUUGCACUUCCUUUAAAUACAUGUAUUAGGUGGGCUCGUUAUAUAUAUAAUGUUAUGUUAGAAGGAGCAAUUAAUAUCAAAGAAUAAACCGGAGAGGCACAUUAUAUAUAUAUAUAAUUAAUAAAUUAGCGAGUUAUUGCUCAAAAUAAAAAUGAGCGCGUUAUUAUUAAAUUGGUCCUUAAAAUCUUCGCAGGCUUUUGUACGCAAUCACCAGGAUUUUCCUUGCGUGUGAGUAAAAAACAACUAGGAUUUUCCUUGCCAACUUCCGUUAAACAUUUACUUUUAUAAGUUAAUAACACGUGGGAUGUUUUUAUAAUGUAUAUAUAAGUCUCUAUAAAAUAUACGAUAAUAGUAAUAAUAUAAAUAUAUAUAUAAUGUGGUUAGAAGGGAAAACAUAAAUUGGACACAUCAUUACUUUUAUAAGAGACCUGCGUUUUAUACCCCACAUUAGGCAUACUAACAAGUUUACACACAAAUACAACAGAAAAGGUUAACAUUCAUAUCAAACUCAGGUUCACAGGACACGUUCAUAUUCAUAGCCAACAUUCACUAUCAACAACUCAAAAGAUUCAUAUAUACACAAGCUCAGCAUAUCUAUGCAUCCAAAUGAUUGAUAGAUCACACGACAAUAUUCAUACAUAAUUCACAAAAAGAUUCAGAUAUACACAUGUUCAGUAUGUUUAUGCAUCCAAAUGAUUGAGAUCGCAAUCAAUAUGAUCCAUGGACAAACUUUAAUUACCUAGGAUACAGACUGGUAAAUGGUGUUCAAUCGGAGGUACUUCUUGCUAAAAUUAGUUCUCGUACGAGUAAACUUUCGAGUACAUAAGAGGCAACACAGACAAUCUGAACUUUGCUUGUAGGUUUAUCCUCAAAUAGUGGCCUCGUGCCGAGGGAGGUUUGAGCAACUUGGCCACUACUUUCAUCCAACUAGUUUACUGGCUCAUCUCGGUCCUCUAUCUCGCCAAGAUUCUACAUUGCAAACGAGAAAGGAGGCGGUUGAGAAAAUGAACCACCCAAAUUUUUUGUGCAGUUCAACUAAAAUGGAGCAUCCUUGGCAUGCAGACUGAUUAGGUGCCAGAUGAAUAUACGCGUCAACCAACUUGUCUGGAAUCUUUAGACUCCAUGCCAUAUAGUUCGCUACCAUAUGUGCCGAUAACCAAAAGGCACAAGUUGGGACCAAAGACUGGACUGUGUUUUUCUGGGCUAUGCACCAAGCAAUAUUUUUGGCGUUCACUCUCCUAAUACUUGGAGUUUGACAAUUGGUUGACGCCGGUUGAUACUCGAAUGAAUAUAGGCACUUCUUGUCAACAUCGAUGCUUGUCUGAGUGAACUUUGGAGUACGUAGCAGCAGCAUAAGUACUUGUCCAUCUGAUCAUUUUGUGCAGUUCUACUGAAAUCACCCGAUGUAAUGAGUUGCCUGCGAGUUCAGGCUCCAAAUUACUCCUUUAUGAAAUCGGCAAACAGUAGCACAAUACCAAAUUACCAAUACAUAUGACAGGCACAAUAAUCAGGAUAAAGACUAGUACCAACCUUGUGAGGUAGCAUAUCAAUUACUAUUUCCUUUGUCUGGAAGCCGAGAUAAGCCAAGCGACUGACGGCAAAGGAAGAAAGCAAGCGGAGAUUAGCGACUGACAGGAAAGGACGGAAGCUGUCGAGGCAAUGAAGCACCAAAAGUUUUUGUGCGGUUCCACCAAAAUCGAGCAUCCCUGUUGGCACAUAUAUUGAGAGAGUGAGAUUACUGUAAUAGUGGGACUAGUUGAUGAAACAUACACUAACAAAUAGAAGCACCCUCAUUAUCUUAAUGGGUAAAGUUAGCAACAUAGUAGUCUUGCUUAAAGAGAGGUAUUAGUUUAUUUAAUCAGUGCCAAUUAGCUCAACUCAACACUCAAAGCAUUGCCAUUUAUCAUAGGUUGCAAAACUUUAACGUGCAAAGAUAAAGGAGUUUCUCAUGACAGUAGCACGAUACAAAUAGAGAUGACAACAAACUAAUAUGGAUGAAGGCCUUAGGCCCGUACCAACCUGAGAAAAAAGAACUUAUUCAUGUAGUCCCAUAAGAAAUGAUAAAGCACUCACUGGAAUCACACAAUAGUAUAUAUUUUUGUGCACUUCAAAUGUAUGGUUGAAAUCACUGUUGUUUACCAGUGCUGAGAUUAUAUCAAAAGAUUAUCAAGAACUUCCAGCAGAGUUAAAGCACUGGCUGGGAUACAGUUCAUUGUAUUGUCUUAUGUAGUUCCACUAAAAUGUAUGAUUGGCACAACAUGAUCCCUGUUUGCACAAGUAGGAACAAGGUGAAACCUUCAUUAGCUUAGUGAGAAAGGAUAGGAAGGCAUUAGCAUAUUACUCAAACAGUAGCAUAAAAUUCAUGAUGGACAAUACGCAAAACAUUGCCUCAUUGAACCAAUGGCAAUAAAUUGACAUGCAAAACAAUAGCACUAUUAUGUCAUGACACUAAUAAUAUUCCCUCCCUGCUCCACCACAUGAUUCACCUCCAUAGACAAACAUACACACGUACAUGAUUCAGCAUAGGGUCCUACUAAAGAUUUGUUUAACUCCAACAGGAAAAUUAGGCAGUAAUAAUUAGUGGUAUUUAAGUACUCCUAAUUAAUUAAGUGAGACAGCAGAAGUGGAAGGGCUCCCUAGAGGAUCGUCUCACAUGUAAGGUAGUCGUUGCCGGAGCCCUUGAAUGGCCUCGACUGAGGCCUCUGGCUUCAGCAAGAUUGCCUUGGCACUGUUUAUUCUUCUUCUUCUUCCUCUUCAUGCUCUGUUUCUCUUUCUCCUCACCAGUUGGUGAAACCAAGUACAUGAUUGGCCUUCUAAUUCAGAAUUGGUUUUGUCAGUGAGGGAGUACAAGUGUACUAGUAAAAAACAACAUUAUUUUCUCAUGGCAGUCGGAAAAUAGAGAUGAACACAUGCAUUAAAUAUCAUUCUUACCUAAAGGAAGGUUAUGGCGCCAAUAUGGAUGAUGAGGAUUGGAACACAGAUCUCCCUUUAUGCAGUUCCACCAAAAUGAACCAACUGUUCCAUUCUAACAUUCCAGUUAAACAACACAAAAGUUCUUUUAAGAAGAGUUUUGUGUAGUGCACCAAAAGGUCACAACAGCAACCAGGUGAAUUGGAUAUCCCUGUUUGCACAAAAAGGCAUAGAGGAAACAGUCAGAGUCUCAAACAAUUACAGGCAAAAACAUUUGGCUAAACUUGUCAUGGCUUAUAACAGUGGCAUGGCUUCAUUUUUACCAGGGACAUUAGAUUAAGAACAGCUAAGGCUGCGGUCGGUUCACAGGUUUGGUGCAGGAUUUUCAUAGGAACACAAUUCCUACGGUAUUCUUUCCCUUCCAACCGUUCGGAACACGGGAGAGGUGAAUAGUGUUUCAUAGGAAAGCUGAUCUGGUAGUACUGAUUCCAUAGGAUUAUAAACAUCCACGCGCUGCUCAUUUUUUGGGGGGAAGCCCGAGGCAGGCGCUCGCUGCCAUGUGUUAGACAGGUUGCUGUGUUGUGUUGCCAGAAUAAAAAAAUCAACCUAUGUGUGGUACGUGAGGUGAGGACAAGAGUAGUCACUGUGCAUCUAAAGAAACAAAUAGCAUCUCAUACUGCCAAGCAUGCUACUCUAAAAAAACAAAUCUGUACAUUUCAUAGUCCAUCCGAACACAUUCUCUUGAGAGUUUCCUCCGGUUCGCUGUUCCAUAGUUUUAUACCUACAUUCCUUUCCUAUUACUCUAUUUUCAUCAAGACAUAUGUUUUCUGCCCCUUUAUUCCGAACGGAGCCUAAAUAUUUGGUAUAAGGGCAUGGGACAGUGGGUGCACCAGCAGUCCAGCACCAUGUACAUAAAGAGGGGCAUAAAGUGGUGAUUCAUAGUUUGUUGCCCCGAGAAACGAAUAUUCAAGAAACAUAUCUAGGUUGGUCCCAUUUUUGUUCACUCCAGCCACCUACUCCUAUGUGUGGAUAGCAAAUCUAGUCCUGGUCAUACCACUGUGUACAGCGUUACCCCUAUAUUUCCCUUUUCGACCAAGAGACCGGUUGGAUGACCAGUCUGUACUACUUUCACCCCCUUUCCUUCCUGUUUGUACCAAGUCCGAUGUACAUACUAAAUUCCCCCACCCCCACUUUAUUUCUUGUUUGAACCAAGUACUCCCUCUGUUCGGAAUUACUUGUCAUCAAAAUGGACGUGUCCAGAACAAAAAUACAUCUAGAUACAUCCAAUUCAAUGAGAAGUAUUUUCGGACGGAGGGAGUACAAGAUUCAACUCCAUGAAGUAGCUUUACCUCUAACAAUAGAAAAAAAUGUGACGUUGGACCAUCCGAUCGAGAGGGGCUGAGAGGUAGAAAAUGAUGCACAUGCAACAACGUAGCGAGUUGGGGAAGUAGAGCUAAGGCGGUUUCGAAUGAAGAUAUACCUGAAGGUCGUCGGGAUGUGGAUAGGUGGGCGGUGGGAGGCCGGAUCCGCCCACAGGCAAUGACAAAGGGAUCGGAGGACCUCCCGCGCCGGCGCUCGGCCAGAGAUAAUAGUGCGGCCGGCAGUGGGUCUCCUCCCUCACUAUCGACGACGGCCUAAACGCUGCCCCUCCUCCCCUUCACCGGCAGAGGGGGAUACGUCCGGAUCUAUAACAAGCGGUGAGGAUAGAAAGCCAGUGUUUUUUGAAGGGAGAAAGACAGUGUUACUACCCCUAUCUUGUUUAGAUCUGGAGAGGAUGAGAGUGUGUGAAUAGAGCAACCCUAGCAAGCAAGCGUGGAGGCUCCGGCCCAUAUAUACGUAGUGGGGUAGUUUUCCUUUUUCACUCCAUCAAAACAAUCGUUUAAAAUUGUGUACUACUACAUGCCAGGUCGCAGUUUUUUUAGUUGUUGAUUGUUUUUUGAGAUAGCUACCCGCUUGUUCCAAGUGGUGUUACAGUGUGCCAGGUCGCACUUUGUAUCGUUCAAGUCUGGUACUACAAGUCCCUCCAUUAAAUGAACAACCACCCCCUCGUAAAAAUGGUGAACAAGCCCACGGCUAAAAUUAGCGGAAACAUGGGUUGCCCCAACAUGCAUUAUUAUUUAUAUUUUCUACUCCAUCCGUUCCUAAAUAUAAGUCUUUUUUAUUAGCCACACCUAAGAAAAGAAUUUUUUUUAUUAGCAGUGAACCCCACAUGUCAUAGACACAAAAAUUGUGGCUAGAUUCCCUUAGGCAAGCCAAAGUGUGCCUAACGAUUUGAGCAACUCAGGUUAGGCAAGUGUGGCAAGUGUGGGAAAAAUAAUGUGGCAACAUAAGACAAACAUAGUCACAAUCCAAACAGCCCCGUAAUUUUUUGUGACAUGCAUGAAAAUUUGGUUAGUUAAAUUUAUAGUCAAAAUUUGGCAAGGUGCAUCAAAUCAACACAUGCAAGUAUCGAAAGGAAAGUCACGACAUGCAUGCAUGCGUUGUACUCCCUCCGUUUCCAAGUACAAGUCUUUUUAGAGAUUGCAACAAGUGACUACAUACGAAGCAGAAUAUGUCUACUCCUACAUACGAAGUAGCCUAUUCGAAAUGUGUAAAAAGACUUAUAUCGAGUGCAGUGCUUUGAUGUGUCGUGUCAACUCGUACAAGACCGAGAAAUUUUUACUACAACGCCCUCUCCCUCGCGGACUGAGCUCCGGUGCCUUAACUGCACCUGCCUUUGGCUGCAUGACAGGAGGGCCAACCACCUGUUGGGCCCACCUGUCAUAGAUGCAAAGGCAGGAGCAGUAAGUAGAAGCUUUCGCUACAUGCUAUCCCUCCCGCACGAGGUGGACGGACAUGCAGCAGUGGAUUCGAUACUGUAGAAGUAGGAGUAACAUCAUUGUUCAUCUUCUCGAAGAGGCGAAGAGCCAAGCGCAAGCCGAACGUGGCAGUUGCGAAUGCUCGCGUGGUGCGGUUCCUUGGAGCACUAGCCAGGCUCUUGCAUGAGACAAAGUUUCUAUUGUUUAACAAUUAAAUCCAUUAUCCAUUGGUUGAUACUCAUUUUGCAUAGGUCCAUGCGCUUAGUACCGUUUCCUCCUGGGGUCACCAAUGUUUAUUUGCUAAUUAAUAGCAUUGCAUGCAAUGAACUAGCCAUUGCAAGUCAUUAAAAGCAUGCACACCUCUCAUCUCUUAUUGGUUGAUAUGUCAAGAAACAAGAAACAAUAAACAAGGUAGAAGUUAAUGCACCGCGCCUAAGUGUUUUGGGACUAUUUGUUUUUGGUGUGCAGUGGCACUAAGACUAGCCACAAUGAAGAGUAACAUACACUAGUAACAUACACAUAUUCCUAGACUAUGUUACUACCUUCAUAGUGGGUAGUAACAUAAGUGUGAUAACAUGCAGAGCUUCAUUUAUUAUGUUAUAGACUCAUAUUGCAUUGGGACAUGUGAUGUUACAGUAACUAGCUAAGUUACUACUACUACCUCUCUCCUCAUUAACUCAUUGCCACAUAAGCAAAUUUGCUGAGUUGGACUCGAUGUUACUUCUGAAGUUACUCCCACUGUGGCUAGUCUAAGAUCGGUCGCUCACGAUAGUACAUACUCCAUACCAUACUACCAUAGUACCCUCUCUAGCUUAGGCUUUUUUAUAGAUUGUCGUUGUGAUGGACGAUAUACAUGAGCAAGGCUGUCCGAGUAUGACCGAGGGAGUCCUAGAUUAGGGGGUGUCCGGAUAGCCAGACUAUACCUUCGGCCGGACUCCUGGACUAUGAAGAUACAAGAUUGAAGACUUCGUCCCGUGUCCGGAAGGGACUUUCCUUGGCGUGGAAGGCAAGCUUGGAGAUACGGAUAUGUAGAUCUCCUACCAUUGUAACCGACUCUGUGUAACCCUAGCCCUGUCCGGUGUCUAUAUAAACCGGAGGGUUUUAGUCCAUAGGACGAAAAACAAUCAUACCAUAGGCUAGCUUCUAGGGUUUAGCCUCUCUGAUCUCGUGGUAGAUCUAUUCUUGUACUACCCAUAUCAUCAAUAUUAAUCAAGCUGGACGUAGGGUUUUACCUCCAUCAAGAGGGCCCGAACCUGGGUAAAACAUCGUGUCCCCUGCCUCCUGUUACCAUCCGCCUUAGACGCACAGUUCGGGACCCCCUACCCGAGAUCCGCUGGUUUUGACACCGACUGUGGGCCAAUUGGCUUGGUCAUCUGGAGCAGAUCGAAAGCUACGCCCCUGGCCAUCAGGUCAGAUUUGGAAGUUUGAACUACACGACCGACAUCCGCGGAGAGUUGAUCUUCGACAGAUUCGAGCCACAGCCGAGCGCGCCGCACUGUCACGAUGGGCAUAUCUAGCUCUGCCGCCGAACAGUGCCCUGGAGGCCGCAUCUGUGUCCGCUCCGACCCCUAGCUCGGAGCCGAUCACACCAAUCAAGGAUGGGUGGUUAGACACUGCCUCGGGGGCUGCAAUCUCUACGGCGAUCAAGCCAAACACCAGCCUUGUCCUCUGCGAAGCCCGUGACUCCAAGGUGCCGGACUCCUCUCCGGACUUCGAGCCCUCCGCGCCCCUACCGAUCGAAUCCGAUUGGGCGCCGAUCAUGGAAUUCACCACCGCAGACAUCUUUCAACACUCACCCUUCGGCGACAUUCUGAAUUCACUCAGGUCUCUCUCUUUGUCAGGAGAGCCCUGGCCGGACUAUGACCGGCUGGAUUGGGAUGUGGACGACGAAGAAAUUCGAUGCCCACCCACCACCCACUUCGUAGCCACUGUCAAUAAUUUAAACGACGUGCUCGACUUCGACUCCGAAGACAUCGACGGUAUGGACGACGAUGUAGGAGAUGAACAUGAACCAACGCCUAUAAGGCACUGGACAGCCACCUCAUCUCAUGAUGUAUGCAUGGUGGACACACCCAAAGGAAGCGACAACGAGGAACACAGGGAUGCAACGAGGGAUCGUUCACUCGAAAAGCAAUCAAAGCAGAGACAUAAGCGCCGCUCCAAGCCCCGCCUCGACAGGGACAGCAGCCAUACAGACCCAGCCAUAGAGCGGGACGAGCCGGCGGACGACGAACAUGCCUUCGAGCAAGCGUCCGAACAGGGCAACUUGGAUAAACAAACCGAACACCCCGUCCCCGGCGAAAACAACAGUCCGGACGACCUUACGCCGGAUAAACUCAUGGAGCAGAAGAACCUCCACAAAAGGCUCGUCGCCACUGCACAUAGCCUGAAAAAGCAGAAGCGGAAGCUCAAAACUGCGGAAGAUGCACUCAGAAUCAGAUGGAGCAAAGUAUGCAACACCGCAGACAAAUAUGGCGGCAGUCGCCGCACAAAAAGCUAUCCAAUGCGAAAGCAACUGCCUAAAUUUGACGAGGAGGCCUUAGAGCCCCCGCAGUCAAAAAAAUAGGAAGGCCAUGCGGUCGUCCCGGAUGGACGACCGCAUGGCCAGCAUGGAGGGGCAAGCGGCGCCGCACACAAGCUGGCACGCGAUCCACCAAAGGAUCCGCAUCAAAAAGACGGCCCAGCCAGAUCUAUAUACGGGCCAAGAAAGCAAGCUCUAGUAAGCAAUGCAACACAACAAAUAUCCGAACAUCACGACACACCCAAAUACAGGGGUGCCGCACACCCCCUAUGUUUCACCGAUGAGGUGCUGGACCAUGAAUUUCCAGCAGGAUUCAAGCCCGUAAACAUAGAGGCGUACGACGGAACAACAGACCCUGGGGUCUAGAUCGAGGAUUAUAUCCUCCACAUACACAUGGCCAGAGGAGAUGACCUCCACGCCAUAAAAUACUUACCCCUAAGCUUAAAGGGCCAGCCCGGCAUUGGCUCAAAAGCCUUCCCGAAAACACCAUUGGAAGUUGGGAAGUGCUUGAGGAUGCUUUCCGGGCAAAUUUUCAAGGGACCUAUGUCCGCCCUCCGGAUGCAGACGAUCUCAGUCACAUAACUCAACAGCCCGGAGAGUCAGCCCGGAAAUUCUGGAAUAGAUUUCUUACUAAAAAGAAUCAGAUAGUCGACUAUCCGGACGCUGAAGCCCUAGCAGCUUUUAAGCAUAACGUUCGAGACGAAUGGCUCGCCAGACACCUCGGCCAAGAAAAGCCAAGAACAAUGGCCGCAUUAACAAGCCUCAUGACCUGCUUUUGCGCAGGAGAGGACAGCUGGUUGGCAAGAUGUAGCACCAGCAACCCAAGUACAUCCGAAGUUAGCGAUGGAAACGGAAAACCCCGACGCAGCAAGGACCAGCGCCAGAAUAAGGGAAACAACCCAAAGAGCACGGCGGUCAACGCCGGAUUCAAAAGCUCGCGGCAGAAUCAGAGAAAGCCGCCCCUCAAGGAUAACAUGGACGAGCUAUCCAACUUAAACAAAAUCUUGGACAAGAUAUGUCAAAUACACAGUACUCCCGAGAAGCCUGCGAACCAUACCCACAGAGAUUGUUGGGUUUUCAAGCAAGCUGGCAAACUCAACACCGAACAUAAGGGGCUCGACACACCAAGUGAGGACGACGAUGAACCCCACAAGGAGAGCACCAGGAAACAAAAGGAUUUCCCACAAGAAGUCAAAACAGUAAACUUACUUCACGUGACGAACAGAACGGCGCCACCAGAGAUACGCGCCAUAUGGCCUGUCCCAAAGGAGUCUCGCCAAUGGUUGUUAAAACCGAUCACCUUCGACCAUGAGGAUUACUCUAGAAGUAUCCGGAACGCAGGCUGGAUUGCCUUGGUAUUAGAUCCAAUAAUCGGCGGACUCCACUUUACAAAUGUCCUGAUGGACGGCGGCAGUGGUCUAAACCUGUUAUACCAGGACACAGUUCGCAACAUGGGGAUAGACCCAAAAAAAAUCGCCAUAGCAAAACCUCCUUUCAAGGGGUAACGCCAGGCCAGGAUGCCCGUUGUAUGGGUUCUCUCCGGCUAGAAGUUAUGUUCGGCUCCCCCGAUAACUUCCAUCGCGAACAGCUAACUUUCCACAUCGCCCCAUUCUCAAGUAGCUAUCAAGCACUGAUGGGACGCGAAGCUUUCGCCCGCUUUAAUGCAAUACCGCAUUAUGCAUCUCUUACGCUUAAGAUGCCCGGUCCACGAGGCAUCAUCUCAUUAAAAGGAAAACAUUGAGUGUCCCUCUCGCGCGGAAGACAGUGCGGCUGCCUUUACAGCCCCACAAUAAAGCGGCUUCAUCAGCCAAAGCACCUACACAGGUCGUCAAGACCACGGACACGGCUAGACGAGUCCAGCAUAAACAUACAAUUGAUAAACGCUUAAUAGCUGUAUACCCCUGUACUAGGGGCUCCGCGCAUAUAAAACAAGAGACAAUAAAGCUCAAUUUUACCCAUUUCGAUUUAUACUUUGUUUAUUUAGUAUAACUUAUGUUCGGCACGAUCUUUCUUCAACUAAGUUCCUCUCUUUUUAAAGAUGAACACCGUGCUACGCCCGUCCAGGAUACGGCACAACGGAGACACGGGCGCAGACAUGCAGCAGGGACCCGUUCCAAGGAUUCUUUUCAGAUUAAGACCCUGCGUAAACCUUUUUUACUGUCCCUUGUUGAUACACAUCCCCUGGUUUCUUGGUAUAACCAAGGAGGAGGUUGGGGUUUUGGCAUGUGGCCACGUCAGAGUUUUGCACGUACCUGGACACUAGGGGAUUAUUACUAAGGGCGUUAUCCCGCCCGCCCUCAUAAAGACCGAAUACCUUAGGGAGUGUUCGGCGUCGCGGGUUUGGCCUUAUAUGCAUCAGCUCCGAAUCAUGUCUUUGGUCAAAUGUUGGGUUUGCCCGGCUCCUGUGUUUUGCUGCUUUACGUUCCACUCUAUCGGCUAAGGCGGCACCAGGAGAACUACUGUGAUUGUGCCCCGGUUCGGCCAGGCGAGCACCUCAGUAGAGAAAGUCAAAAACUGACUGUCAUGUUAUAGCGUGAGACUGGUCAACCACUCGAUGACUUACCGGAAUCUUUAGGAUUCCUCCGCAUUAACGAAGGGCCGUUUCCUGGCCAGGCACAUAUGCGCCCCGAGUUCGGGCGAGCGCAGGUGCCACCAGGGGCUAUAUAAGUAGCCUCACUGUCAAACUCCUAUGGCUAAGUGAAAGUGAUAAAACAUCAUUGUCUGAUUGCCUAGUUCGCUGCGCUAUCACCUCCUUUGUAGGACCAAGACGUUGGAUCAAGUGUGUAAAUGCGCCUUCUACGAACACCCCCGCAUUAUGUGCGUGGGGGCUGAAGCCGACGACUGCCAUCUUUCAGAUUAUAUAUACAUAGAUGUUAAACGACCGCACAGGAGGUAUCAUAAUACUUGCAGGCACAAGUAUAAAAAGCUUCUACAAUUUAUCAUAAUAUUGUUCUACAAUAAUAUAUGCUAUUUGAAUAUAGUAUCCUUCGAGCACUGCGUCUCUAUUAAACGAGCGCCUUGCAGAACUUCCUGAAAAUAGUGCUCGGCAGGUACUCGGCUUCCAUCCGAGUCUGGGGAUGCAACAGCGGUGGCUUCCAUUUUCGCCCAGUAUGUCUUGACACGGGCAAGAGCCAUCCGCGCAUCCUCUAUGCACGCUGACCUCUUCACCGCAUUGAUAUGUGGCGCCGCACCAAGGAACUACUGCACCAAGUUGAAAUAACUUUUUGGCUCUUGCGUCUCUGGCCACAGAUGACUCAUGACAUACUUCAUGGCGAGUCCGGACAACCUAUUUAGCUCGGCCCAUUCGGCCAAACGAUCGUCUAAUGACAGUGGACGCUUUGGAUUGUGGAACUGCGACCAGAAGAGCUUUUCCACUUCGCGAUCUUCUUGAUCUCGGAAGUGUUCGGCCGCAUCUGCGACACUCGCUGCUAAAUCCAGAUAGGUGUCUGCCGUACUCCACAUUUGGUCUAAUGGAGCAUGUUUAGGAUCAUAGAACUUCCUCCACAGCAUAAAGGGCUUUCCAGCCGCGAUCUCUCCGGCCUGACGCAGCUCCUCCUUCAUAGCUCUCAUCACAGAGCGAGCAUCCUUGGCAUCGGCAACGGCUUUCUUCAGGUCCGUCUGUUCCGCCCGAUCUUCUUUUUCAAGAAGCUUGCAACGGUCAGCAGCGUUCUUCAGCUUCACGGCCAUCUCGGCCAUUUCCUUCUUGCUUCGGCAGUGAGCAGCCUGUUCGGCUUUCAGCUCUUGAAUUGCCUUUCCGGCAGCCGCAUCACUUUUCCAGGCUUGCUCCUUGGCUCGGGCAAGUUCCGCCCGAAGAUUCUCCAUGGCAGCAACACCAUCUGCAUCACGCGCACACAUUGUAAGAUACUGGCAUAAAGCUCCUCUUACCAGGUGCCGCCGGAGGAAUUACAUACCUUGUGCCACGUCAAGCCGCUUGUUGACAAGCGCGAUGUCGACAUCUACCACGUCAAGUUGCCACUUUAGCUCGGCAAAUUCAUCAGUCCGGCUGGCCACCGGACACUUCGCCACCUACGUAUGAAGGCGGCGUAUUAGACCUGGGAUUAUGAUGCUCUGCGCGCCGUCACUUUUGACAACGCACAGACUCUUAGGGGCAACUACCUACACAGGGCGCAUCUUAUUUAUGGGAAACUGUCCAAAAAGGGUACAUUAUUUCGCGUACCUCAAAACCUGUCAGUAAACUCCUGACGGCCUCGUGCAAUCCGCCCUCCGCGGAUGAAAUCCUCUCAAUCACCGUGCCCAUCAAUGCACGGUGCUCCUCUGAGAUAGAUGCUCGCCCUAGCAGAUCCUUCAGCUCCUCCGACCGUGCACCAGACGGUGCCGGACUCGUCCAAUGGCCCUUUUAGAAGGCCGGACGCGGAGGGCUUUGGGGGGCCAUAUGACUACCUUCCGGCCUUGCCGGAUUUGGAGAAACCCUCCGCGACGAUACCUUAGGGUCACCCGCCUCGCAAGGCGCUAUGGCAGGGGGAGGCGUUCUGCUCUCCAUCAUUUCCGGAAGAAGAUCCCCCGAAGACGAGCUCUGCUGAAAAGGGCUAAGGUCCGAGCUACAAGGUAAAUUUUUUAUUACUUUUCUCAGAUAUAAAGCAAGGAUUUCUCUUAUCUCUUAAAAAGAAAAACUCCUCUCUACUUACGGCUCGGUGGAGGGCUGAUCCCCUUGAGGGCAUAAUUCGGCCGAAGCAUCCCCCAACACAGGACCCUCUAGCGAAGAUUUCUUCCCCCGCUUUGAGGCCAUGGUCUCUGGGUCUUUAGAGGCGGUCCUCUUCUUCCCCUGAGGAGAGGAAUUUUCGAUUCCUCCCUUCCAAACAGCCUCCUUCGAGGAGGCCGUAGAUUCCUUGUCCCCUCCCUCGCUUUCCUCCGAAGGCACAACCUCCAAUAUCCUGACUAGUACGGGACCCGGUGUGGUCGCGGGGAGGGGGGGCCGGACACCUGAUUAGCUUUGCUUUCGCUAUCCACUCCCGUUUAAAGGAUAACUCUUUUAAGGGCAAUUUUAUGAUAAAUAUGCGGAUUGCGAGUCCGGGCACGGGGCUACUUACUUGAGUAUCCGGGUGGUUGCAGCUCAGACCUGCGUCCUUGGUCAAGUUCGGACACAUUGCUUGUGAUCCGAAGAACAAUUUGUACAUCUCCACGGGUGUCGCGCCCAUAAAAUGUUGGAGAGCUCGUGGUCCCUCCGGAUUGAACUCCCACAGGCGGAGUGGGCGACAUUUGCAGGGCAGAGCUCGGCGAAUCAGCAUAACCUAUGUCGCCGCGACUAGACUGAUAUCUCUUUCUAGGAGAUCUCGAAUGCGGCCCUGCAACAAGGGCACGUCAUUGGACGGCCUCCAGUCCAGUCCUUUAUUAACCCAUGACGCUAGCUGUGGUGGGGAACCCAGGCGAAAGGCAGGUGGCGCCACCCACUUGGGGGCCCUGGGAGCGGUAAUAUAAAACCACUCUCGUUGCCAUAAGCUGGACUCCUCUUGAAAAGAGCCCUCGGGCCAUGGAGCACCAGCAUUCUUGCUUAUAAAAGCACCUCCGCACUCCGCGUGCCAUCCCUCGAUCAUCUUCGGCUCUACUUUGAAGGUCUUGAGCAAUAGUCCGAAGUGAGGAGUGAUACGGAGGAAGGCUUCACACACGACGAUGAAUGAGGAAAUAUGGAGGAUGGACUCCGGGGCUAAGUUGUGAAAUUCCAGCCCAUAAUAAUACAUGAGCCCCCUCACGAAGGGACCCGUCGGGAAGCCUAGCCCCCGAAGGAUGUGAGGCAUGAACACCACACUCUCACCAGGCUUGGGAGUGGGAAUGACCUGCCCUUGAGCAGGCAUCCUAUGCCAGAUUUCGCCGGUCAAGAACCUGGCCUCUCUCAACUUCAGCACGUCCUCCUCCGUGAUGGAGGAGGGCAUCCAUCGGCCUCGAAGGUCGGAAUCGGACAUUGUCGAAGGUCCGAAGUGCCUGAAAUCUGGAGCCUUGGGUGUUGGAACUCAAGGCGAAGGGCGAACUCGUUUGAGAUUAAAAGAAAGGAGUAAGGCCUUGGUCUCUUUAUAAGAGGUUGAAUACCAAGGGACCUCCCCAUGACCGUUUGGGACUCGCCUUUGAUCUAGAAAACAUACCAACGGGUAUGACUGGGUUACCCACGCCCGUAUUGAUGAGAAUACCGGAAUAAGGGGACACGAUCUCUGCUUCAACAAGACGUGCCAAGGAAACCGCCUCGCUAAACGCGCUGAGGUGGGACAGUAAAACGAUUCGAAUAAAGACUUGGCCAUAGUGUGAUGUCACGCUACGAAAUACGUCAGCAGAUUAGAUUUGUGUAAAUAUUAUUCUCUCUAUGGAAAUAUGUGGAAACUUAUUUUGCAGAGACGGACACUACCUUUGUGUUCAAAAUCUUCUAUGAAGUACUUGGAGGAGGAACCCGCCUUGCAAUGCCGAAGACAAUCUGCGCGCCGGACUCAUCAUCAUUGAAGCCUGGUUCAGGGGCUACUGAGGGAGUCCUAGAUUAGGGGGUGUCCGGAUAGCCGGACUAUACCUUUGGCCGGACUCCUGGACUAUGAAGAUACAAGAUUGAAGACUUCAUCCCGUGUCCGGAAGGGACUUUCCUUGGCUUGGAAGGAAAGCUUGGCGAUACGGAUAUGUAGAUCUCCUACCAUUGUAACCGACUCUGUGUAACCCUAGCCCUCUCCGGCGUCUAUAUAAACCGGAGGGUUUUAGUCCGUAGGACGAACAACAAUCAUACCAUAGGCUAGCUUCUAGGGUUUAGCCUCUCUGAUCUCGUGGUAGAUCUACUCUUGUACUACCCAUAUCAUCAAUAUUAAUCAAGCAGGACGUAGGGUUUUACCUCCAUCAAGAGGGCCCGAACCUGGGUAAAACAUCGUGUCCCCUGCCUCCUGUUACCAUCCGGCCUAGACGCACAGUUCGGGACCCCCUACCCGAGAUCUUCCGGUUUUGACACCGACAAUGACCGUUGGUAUUGAGCCAGGUGAAUACAAACUUGGCGUUCGCGUAGGCUUCCAUCAAACAUCUAAACAGUAAUGUCAGGCACCGCCGGGGCGCGUAGGUGAUGGGCUCGCCGUUUGCGUUGCGCCAUGAGCAGGACUUUGAUUUAGAGGGCAACGUGCAUGCAUUAGCAUGCUUUGACAGCGUGAGCGUGAGUGUCUGACGCGAAGUAUUUCAUUUUCAUUUGGCUGACGAGGGUGCGUUGCAGCGACGAGUCCGUGGUUUGAUUCCCCACAUAUACAUAAUUUUGGUUUUUACAGUAUUUCUUUCUCCAUUGAUAGGUAGGCCCGCGUAGAUAGAUAAAGAACACGAGCUGAUGAGGCGCAUGCGGACUAUUUGACUGGUCAACCAAACAAAUAUGGAGCUAUACGCUGUGUUUGUGACCGUAUAAUCACCAUAUCUCGUAUACAAUGAUAAAAGUGAGAUAUCAAGACAAGUUUGAUGACCGCCAAUGCAUUUUACUCGGUAAUAAAUGACCAGGAUUGAAGGGGAAUCCAAAUUUGCUUCGUCUUCUGUCCUUGAGCUCUUGACAAACCAAUGCACUAUACGGUUGUCCGGUCACUCCACCCCAGAGCACUCACCAAGCGUCGUUCAUGACACCGCGCCGCACACUAACCGGUAAGGCAGCGAUGGCAUCGCGCCGCACCGAGUUCCUCGCUGCCCACGACCACACACAAAAUGGUAGGUAAGCGAUGGCAUCCCACCGUGCCGAGUUCAUCGCCGCUCGCGACCUCACAACUAUGUGGGAGGAAUUUGAAGAUGCCAAGGCCGAACGGGCGGUAGAGCAAGAGGUGGCCAAAGCCGCACAGAGGGAGCGGAAAAGUCAGAAAGCACUCAAGAAAAGAGAGGCCCACCGCCGCAAGAAAGAAAAGGACGCACACGCUGCUGCGGAGAGGUCGGCGGAGAUCCAAGCACGGUGGGGUUUCGCCGACAAAGCCGGGAAGGAGAACGACGGCGUCUGGCCAGCAUGUGAGAAGUAGUAGUACUAGUAGUUAGUGUGUGUGUCUGUGUCUGAGUACAAGCCUGUACCAAUACUAAUAGUUACUACUGUAGUUUUUAGAGAAAAUUACCAGUACAUUAGCCUAGACUAAAUGGAAAAAUUCUUAUCCUAAGCAUCAAAUGGCAUCUCUUUCUCUAUAGGAAUUGAGAUGCAUGUCAUCUCACUUCCUAUGAUUUUCAUAUUCCUAUCCUAUGAACGAAAGGAGGCCUCUGUUGGAGUAACUACUGUAGCUAGCAGUACUGCUGGUACAGUAGUUUUCUUCAAGAAGCGGAAUUCAACGAAGUCAUCAUGGUUCCUUCGUCCGAGCAACUUCAAAGUGGGAAGUGGGCCUGUGAUUUGACGGCUCAUUAGUCAUUGUUACUGCGGCGCGACGACCUGGGUGACUCUCCCUUGGAGUUCAGCGUGCAUGGCAAGUGGACCAGGAUGGUCGACGUCCCACAUGUUGGCGAACGGAAGUAUUCUUUCUGAUAUCGAGGAGCAAGGAAACCGCGUGGUAUAGUAUCACUGCUGAUUGGUUCGCAAAAAAAUAGUAUCACUACCGAUUUAUAAUUAUUUUUUUAUUUCUGAUGAAUGCUAGCGUUUCAACUCUUACGAUGUAGGGUGCCAAACACGGCACGUGCUGGAUGUCCCACACGUCAGCGAAAAGGAGUGGGACACGAACAACGUGGUAGAGCCCAGCAUAAAAAAAUAGCGUGGUAGAGCGUCUCCACUUCUUCCACUUCUGGGUCGGAGACCACACGUAGUAGUACUUAGUGGUAUGAACGAUACAAAGUGCGACCUAGAGAGAAAGACACGUCUAGUUGGAAGGUCCCGGGGGAAUACACGUAAACAAAUAUAAAAGUUAAUAUGUGCCUCCAACUAUUAUAGUAGUAGUAGAGUACUUAGGCACGCACUCCAUAACAUCACCGUGCAUUGCACGUACAACAUUUAGUGGUAGUACAUAGUAAGAGACAAAUGCCGCCCAAGAGCUCCCUUCUCGACCUACUUUUGGGUGUUUGGUAGAGUGUAUGGAGGGUGCAUGAGUCCACACUAGUUUAGCACAAAUACACUAGAAGCAUGCAUGAAGAGGGGUGUUGAGUUGAGCAUGCAUGAAGAGGGAACAACUAUGCAGAGACGAGAACGCAACCAAACACACCCUAUAUGCCACGCAUGUUCAUACCAUUUGUGCCUUUCCACUUCACUUACUGCGCUACAUUACUCAGGUUCGUACGUCCACUCCUGGGUACAUGUUCGUCUCGUAGUUCCAGUCCCACGUGUUCUUCAUAUAUAUGGAACGAUCCUUGCAUAACACGUGCACCUUGAUGCUAGAUGUCUCGCGUGUUGGCAAAAGGAUGAACAAAGCUCAUGUAAAAAAAUAGAGUGGAAGAACAUAGAUUCCGGAUGAUCGAGAAGGAGCAAGGAACCUCGUGGUGGAGCAUCUGCACUCAUAAUAUUUAAUAUUAUUCAGCGAUAUAAAAUUAACCAAUCAUCUCCAUAGUGGACUGGAAGAGUACGAAACAUGACAGCCCAGUGUAGUUACAUCAUACUAGUACAUGGCUAACCCACGCUAUCACCAUAUUUCUUGGCUUCUGUGCGACACCUAUCUCUAGUAAUCCAGCAGCAUGUAUCGCUUCUCCCUCCUCGUCUCUAUCAAAGUGCGGCGGGCUGGCGUUUCUGCCGUCUAUUGAGGUCGGUUAACUAUCACAUGUUAGCGACAUGCCAAGAGCAUUCUAAAAAAAAUUCCUUUCACGUUCCGUUUUCAAAAAGAAAAAAUCCUUUCACGUACGAAUUUGCCUGUAUGCUUUGAGCAACUUGCAUGUCCUAUACUGCUCCUGUUUGAUACUCUCACUUAGCUAGAGGUUAGACUAACUCAUAACUAACCCUGAACUAACUGUAGCUAAAGAGGUGUUUGGGUGACAGGGUUAGAUUGAAAAUAAAUGCACUUCAUGGAGAGAUAAAAGUGAUUUUUCAGUGGUCCCAAUGAGAACUAUCUCCAGUUAGCACCUCUUGGGUGGGAUAGUUUUUUUUGGUGGGUUCGGUGCAACUUGCUCCAAUUUAAACCCUCAUGCUUGGACUCUUUAGGGCUAUUUGAGCCCCAACUAGCUCAAACUAACUCUAACCCAUGGAUCCAAAUAGGGCCUAUGGCCAGUCUCGACGCGGAGCAGUCGCGUGCACCGGGAAGCGGCACUCUCUCGGCAGUCGCGUGCACCGGGAAGCGGCACUCUCUCGGCCGUCGCGCCACUUCAAAGCUAGAGCCAGUGAGAGGUCGCCUCCGCUCUGGCCGGGCAUUAAUGUGGCACUGACGCUCCAGGGUGACGCUGACUGUUUCACGCGGGAAGUGCAAGGGAGUAUAGGUUUUGAACCAUUUCAGGUGUAGUACUGGUAGUUUGCAAAACUACUCAAUUAUUGCACUCAGUUUCCUAAGAAAUUGUGGUAAAAAACGUUACUCCACAGCCCGCUUCCCUUCUCCUUCCUCUUCCACGGCCCGCGCACGUCCGCGGGAAGCGGCUGGUCAACCCUUAUAUAGGAGUGCUAGCACAAAAAGAUGCAUGCAUGACCACUAAAAUUUCCAUAUUAAAGCGCCGCUCCAGCGGGAGUAUGGCGUAUGUUGUUACCUUCGGCCGGCCCAUGGCUACCUGGCAACAGCGACCAGAGAAGAGGCGGAGGGAGGGGAAUGAAUGCAGCUACUGUUUGGGUUCACCUUCCAGCUUAAAUAAAUGUGCAGCAUCACGUGUACCCGCGGGUGCACAAAUUGUAACAUACAUGUCUGCUUAAGUGGGCGUCACGUAACUGGUGUGUGUGAGAGAGAUUCUGAGAGACAUAGUGUGUGUGUGUGCGACUCUACUCUUCGGACAUGUACUCAACCUUUUGCAUCGGGAUAUAAGUAUAAUGGUGUUUACUUUAGCUAGUGAUUUACGUGGCCAUGUUAACGUGGUUGUGUCAAAAAAUGUCACUUCCUACUCGUGAUUUGCGUUAUAUAAUUAGAAGCAAGAUUCUCGUGCAUUGCAUGGAACAUCAAUAUGCAUUUUUUUACAAAACACCUAUUGUGAUUGACCCAUGCAGGAGUAAUCCCAUGUGUAAAAACUAAUGAUAUCUCGAGAAUUUUAUCGGAAAACCGGUAUCUCGAGAAUGUCAUCGAAAAAAUGAAAGAUGAGAGAUAAGGCGAGGAGGAGUGGAGCGUGGUGGUGACUGGUGGUCGGAAUGGGCAGAGGCAUGGGGAUGGACGGCACCGGCAGGCGGCAGCGGCCACCAUGCAUGUUAGAUUGUUCCAGAGACUUAUUCCUUUUUUAAUUGCUGAGAAAUGAGGUUGCGGGAGAUAAUGAUGUGGAGAGAGGUGCGGGUAUCUUUUGUAAAAUUAUCAUAGUUUGCUUUCUAUCCUCAGAUAUAGAUCAUACGGUCUGUAUUACAAGAUGGCAGGCACACCAUCACCGCCAACUCGUUUUUUAUAAGGGUACAGAUGAUAAGUUUGCUGACUACUAAAGUAAAGUGGAAUUUGUCCAUGUUAUGCAAGUAAAUAAAGGUGAUUGUUUAUCAUACGGGUAAGGUUGGAUGAAGGGUGGUAGGAACAAAUGCUCCGCCUANNNNNNNNNNNNNNNNNNNNNNNNNNNNNNNNNNNNNNNNNNNNNNNNNNNNNNNNNNNNNNNNNNNNNNNNNNNNNNNNNNNNNNNNNNNNNNNNNNNNNNNNNNNNNNNNNNNNNNNNNNNNNNNNNNNNNNNNNNNNNNNNNNNNNNNNNNGCCUAUAGCAUGUGUGUGUGAGAUGGAGUCUUAGUGUGUGGGGGGUGUGUGAGAGAGAGAGAGAGAGGAGAGAUAGAGAUGGAGUCUUAGUUUGCGUGUGUGUGUGUGAGAGAGACAUGGAGUCUUAGUGUGUGUGUGUUGGAGGGGUGUGCGUGCGUGUGUGUGUGUGUGUUUGUGUGUGUGUGUGUGAGAGAGAGAGAGAGAGAUGGAGUCUUAGUGUGUGUGUGUGUGUGCGUGUGUGUGUGUGUGUGUCGCGGGGUCCUCUAUGGCGGAUGUAAUUUAAGUGUGCAUGGCUUCAUCAUAGAGAGGUGAUGUGUAUGGCAGAGGCCACCAACGAUGGGGUGCGAGAGAGAAAAUGCCUGUAGAGAGGGAAGAGAAGGUGUGUGCGCGUGAGAGGAGUCGACAUCGAGAGAACGUGUUUGUUCGAGAGACACCGAGGAAUACUACUAUAUAUCGAUGGUUCAUGUAGGCGGGAAUUAAACAAAGGGAUGGUCUUAUUGGUUUCGGGGAUAUAGGGGAAGAGUGAGAGGUGCGGGUAGCUAGAAGGAGAUUGUUAAGUGUGAGUGUGUGUUUUACCGAUCCAGGCGGAAGUUAUGUGCACAAAAAAGGAGAACGAUUUGAUGUGGCGUUAGGAUUGAGGGUAAUUAACUACGUAUGGAGACAUAGAGACCUUGAAUGUGCAUGUGUGAGAGGUAUACAUGUAUACGUGGGAUGUGUGUGUGUGUGUGCGCGCGCGCACAUGAUCGAGAUAAAAGAAAGAAGACAUAAGUCAUAAGAUCAACGACAUGGGAGAGACGGAUCGGUAUGACAAUAUGCAUGCAUGUGAGAACACAAGGAAGAAGGCCCGACAAUUGAGCAUGUGUUUUUGUCUUCAAGAUAUAGUGGCGUGGGCUGGACCAUGCAUCUAUGGCGAGCAGAGGGAGUGAGGCGCAACAUUGUGCAAAAGAGACCAACCUAUAAAUGCGUAUGUAUGGAGAGACAUAUAUAGUGUGGGUGAUAGGAAGCAAGACUCCAUGCGAGAAAGAAAUGUUGACGGAGAAACUACAGAUAGAUACAGAGAUGGAGAUGCUAGCUAGAGGGACAUCCGCUAGUUUGGGUGUUGGAGAUGACCGUCGGGUGGUUCAAAGGGUGAAGUUAUAUAUGUGUGUGAGAGGGCACUUGACUGCAUGUAGAGAGAAACAUAUGUAGUGUGCGUGAUAGGAAUCAAGAGUGAGGGUGAGAAAGAAGGUUGAUGGAGAAACAGAUAAAUAGAAAGAUAAAGAUGCUAGCUAGUGUGCGUUAGAGAUAGGAGUCGAGUGGAUCAGAAGGCUGGGUUAUGUGUGUGGGUGUGAGAGAGAUAGAGAGAGGGUGCAUGUGAGUCAUAUACAAACAGAUAUCAGAGAGAAAUGAGAUCCAGAUAGAUGGAGUUUUGUGUCUGCAAGAGAGAAAGAUAUUUCACAACGAGUGUGAUAGCUAGAGAGACAUACGAGGGAACGCAAGAUAUCUCUAGGGAGAGAGGGUGUGUGUGUGAGCGACAUACAAGAGAACAAUGGAGAAAUAUGAGACCCUGGGAGACAGAGUUUGUGUUUGUGUGUGACAAAGAGAUAUUGAAGAGGAAGAGUCGUAGGUUCUCAUAUCUAAGGAGCGAAAGACAUCUCUGUAUGAGGGGUGUGCGAGUGGCACACAUGGGAAUAGUAGAGAGAAAUGAGACCCCGGGAGACAAAGUUUUGUGUCUGUGUGAGAGAAAGAGAUUCCACAUGGAGAAUCAUAGUUAGAGACAAAUAGCAGGGAGCAAGAUAUACCUAGAGAGAGAUAGAGUGAUGAAGGUCGAGGGAGAGAGUACCGUCAGUGUGUUACGAAGAUAAAAGAUCAUUGUCGACGUACAGGUAGCACGAGAGAUACCUGAGAGACGAUGAACACGUAUAGGUAUAGAGAGAUAGUCCUAUAUAAGCAUGAGUGAUAGCUAUAUGAGACGAAUAUCUCGAUUAAAGGGGAUUCAAAUAUUUAAACUAGAGAUCACAAAAUCGAUAAUAUCAUAACGCAAAUUGGUGUAUCAAACAUGCAUAUUCAUUUGAAUUUGGGCACACGUGUAAUGUUAUAUAGUUUAUCAAUAUUGGCGAGAUUCUUCAAUUACAAACAAUGCAUGGUUUAUAUGCAAUUAAUGUCUAAACGGGAUUACACUCUAUGUUGCGUGUGUGAAACACAUUAUACAUGUUUGAGAAGUAAAAAAAACUCCGCAUGAAACACACAUUAAUUGGAGACAGUUAGCGAGGAAUGCAUACAUUGGAUUUCAACAUAAAGUGGUUUCAAAUAUUUGAAAAUCCAAAUUGAUGGAUACAACCUUAUGAAUCUGAGAUCAUGCCAUUUGUAAACCAUAUUUAUGUAUAAAUGGUGUUGUGCUUUUGAAAGUAUAUAUAAAAAAAUGAUGUAUAUAGAAUGUAAUUCCAAUUGAAAAUGGAUCCCGCCUGAAAAAAACAAAAUACAAACGGGAUUCAAAUUGAGUUGGCACGGUAAACGUGCACUCUGCAAAAUUUGAACGAAGCGGGGAAAGUCGCAGUAACCGCCCGAAACCAAAAUCUGCGAGAUGGAAAUCACUACUGCCUAUCCCUGCCACGCAAAGCCUAUCUGUUGGAUUUCUAUAGGUUUCGAUAGGGGUAGGUUUGUAAUUUCACCCAAACGUUACGUAACCGCCUCUCACCCGGAUUCAUACACGGUGGGCGCCAAAACACAGUGUGUCCUCGGCCAAAAUCGACUCCCUCCCCGAUUCAUAUUCAUACACGGUGGACACCAAAAACAAACUCUCGUCAGCAAAUAUUUGGUGUAUGCGAUAUUACCGUCCUAUCCCCAACCGACUAAUGUUGAUGUGAUGUACUAGAAAUUUGAAAUGGGGGCUAAGUUUGUAAAUCCUCGCAUUUGAGACAAGCGCGCCCUGAAUACAUGGUUCCCCCUUCCUCUCUACCUCCCUUUUCCCCAUUCAUACUCCGUGGGCGCCAAAACACCCUCUCCACCCCACCCUCCUCCGUCCGCCGCCCCAUCCACCGCCGUCCUCCUCCACCAUGCCGGAGCUGAUACCCCGAUGCCGUCGUCUAUUACAAGAGAUCGACCUCUCUCAUCCACGGCUUCGGACCGGGAUCCUUGCAUCCCGUCCUCUCGCUUCAUCCCCACCAUCAUCCACCUUGCCGGCGCCGCUCCUAUGACCGUCUCGUCCACCGCGCCCUGCCGCCACCGUCUACCCUCCUAGAUCUGCUUCCAUGCCGCCAACAGCCAUCGCUACCGUAGCACCGUCAAAUUCUCAGCAGAUGUGUACACGUCACCGCACCAGAGGCGGUACUCUUUCGUAUCUGCUCACCUUAUUUAUCGUAGCAAGAAAAUAGAUCGCCACUGCUUUACUAUGAUUUCUUGUCUUGGUUGUGAAGUUGCCUUUGUCCAGUUUGCACCUUCAAAUCUGCCAUGGCACGCUCAACACUAUACUCGCAAUGCUUAUGGUUUUCCCCUUUUAUAUUCCACACUAGUUAAAUCACAGUAGACUAAAUUUCAAAAUUGGGUCAGUCGAUUUUUCAGAGCUCGCCGGAGUUCGCCGGUUCGAUCGAAGGGGCUCGGGUGGUUGUGGGGCCUCGCCGAACGAAGAAAACUCAACGUGGGUGGGGUUGGGGCGGGGUGGGGUGGGGUGGCGGAGGAACACAGGCGGUGGGGGCCGGUGGUCCGGGCGGCGGCCCGUGCGUUGUUCUGUAUGGGAAGAAUCAGAGACGAGGAAGAAGAAGGGUUAGGAGAUGUAGGAUCUUCAUCCAACCGCCGGAAAUGGUCGAGAGACAGCUGGGAGUUGCAUUCUUAAUGCGCUCUUGUUCAUCACGUGUGGGCACUGCGCAACCAACAUUUUAUUAUCCAAAAUCUGCUUGCUCUUCUUUACCAUGUUCCUCUUCCGUUCUUCUUUAAUAUGUACUCUCUCUGUUCCUAAAUACAAGUCUUUGUAUAGAUUCCACCAUGGACUACAUAUGGAGCAAAAUGAGUGAAUCUACACACUAAAAUGUAUCUGGAUACAUCUAUAUGUGAUCCAUAGUGGAAAUCUCUACCAAGACUUAUAUUUUGGAACGGGGGGAGUAUGAUAGUAGUACGGUAUGUUCCUUGUACUGAAGAUGAGCAGGGACAUUUGCAGUGUAGAGGUCUAUAUGGUCGAUUGUGAUGGACACUUUGAGCCUGUUUGAUUCGUAGGAUCUUGUAAACAUAGGAAUAGGAUUUAUAGUGGCCUGCCCACUUGAAUCCUAUAAGAAUAGCAAGGAAAUGCGGGGAGUUGUGUCGCCUUUGAGAGUUACACUGAUAUUAACAGUACCGCACCUUCACUUGAAGAGAGCUGGUAUCCGAAGCCUUUCUAGCCGUACCGGCAAUACUAGCACAUAUAUUCCAGCAAGUUCCACUUUGCUGAUUUUACUCUGAUGCUUAAGGUUUUCCCGUUAUAUCUACACUAUGAUCUGUGUAGCUGCUUUGUGUCACAGUAGCAGCAGUCCACUCUUGAAGCUAAACACUGCAAUGACUUACAAAAUUGGCACCAAGGCAUCGAGUGCCAUUCUAGAUGCAAUGAAACUCAUACGCUCCCCACCUAUUGAUUCUUGUUCAGAAUAUGAUCCUAAUGACUAUUCUAACCUCGAGGAGUCAAAGGCAGAUGGCCUGUCCUGUUCACCCAUCAAGGUGCCUGUUCUAAUUUGGCAAUGUUUUAUUGAUUGCGGGUAUCUUGCAUAUUUUGUCUUGCAUUUCUUCUACUUUGUUGCACCACCAUCUGCUUAGUUUACUCAUCAUAUAUGUCGAGAUGCCAUGCCCAUCCAUUAUCAAUACAUAUUCCAUCUGUCAUCAUACCAUGUUUUUCCACUCAAAUGAUGUUCUUGUGCAUCAGACAUCAAAAAGGAAGAGGGUGAUUGCCGAACCUGAAGGAGCACCAGCAAAGUCCUUGAAAAACGUGGUGGUGCCGGAGAAAUCAGACAUCACCCCACUUAUAUUGGUUGUACAACCAGUGACACAAAAUGUAGGACCGACUCCAACAGACUGUACCCAUACUUCACUGGCCACACCACUAGCCCCACCACACAGGACCUGCACUCCAGAAAAAGGUAUACCAAUUUCAUUUGCCAUACCACCAGCUGUACCACAGAAAAAUCCCACUCCAGCAAAAAGUACAGCAAGUCCACCGGCCGAAGACCUAUCCCAACUGCAGAGAUGGCCAAUUCCUGCAGAUUGGAACUCCAUUCCAUUUAUUCCUAGUUUAAAAGACAAUGCUUUUAAUGUUGUUAGGGACUACGUGCAUAUAUUCCCAUCAUGGGAAGAUUAUUGUGAAGACAAACACCAUUUUCACAUCUUCCUGUCCAACUUACGUGUAAGUGCUAUUAUUCAUGGUUAUUAUUUUCCUGUUUUCUGCUGAUUGAACACAUCAAUGAUUUAUAUUACAUUGCUGUAACUAGGUGAGGGUCAAUCUGGAUAGUCAUGACGAGCAAAGCUUGCUUGUGCUUUUCAAGGAAGCAUUGCAGCAAUAUCGAUGUUAUCUGAGGAAAUCACACUUUGAUGGCAAGUAAACAAAUUUCCGGUGAAGUCUCCUGUGCUAAAUUUAGAAGACAUUGAAUGGAAAAACCUUGUUAUGCACUAGUCUCGUUCCCAGGAUGAGGUAAUGUCUAUGAAAUCACAUGACAAUUUGAACUUCUACUUUUUCGCAUGUGCCUUACGGAUCUUUUUUGCAGGAAAUCUGCUCGAAGAAGAAUUCCGGUUUGAAAAGAACGAUAGGAUAUCGCAAAUAUGCUACUCACUGCUUUGCUCUUGUUAGUACAUGUUGUCAUGUAUCACUGUACUUGCAUACAUACCUGGUUCAUCAUGUGACAACAGUAUGCAUGAUAGCUUGCUUAUCAAUUGUUCGCUCCAAAUUAUCUGAUCUGUAUGAAUGGUUACAUUAGUGUAGAAUAUAUCCAAUGCCAAUGUUUUUUUAGCUCUGCAUUGUUCUUGUAAGUACAUGUUGUCCUUUAUCAGUAUAUUUAUAAUGACAGGUAGUUGUUCAUGUACCAUCACUCUGCAGCUUAUUUUCCUUUGGCCUCCAUUUUCUACACAUCAGAUCUAUAUUUACUCUUACCAUAAGGUUGGUACUGAAGAAGUUUAGUUGUGCAUUGCUCUUGGCUGUACCUUUUGCCUGUAUCACUGCACUUACAUUUAUAGCUACUUGGUUAUGUAGCAUCACUCUUCGUCUUAUCUUAAAUAUUCUCCAUUUUUUUGUAUAUUAUCACAUCUAUAUUUACUCUUAACAAAAUGUAGAAUAAAGGCAAUGCUUUUGAAGAAGAUUCUGUGGUAAACUGCUUGAAUUGCCCCCCUAUCAGCAUGGACAAGGCCUUUAUAGAGCCUGUCUUCACCAAUAAUGUAAGUUUUUCCAUCUCAAGCCUUCAAACUUUGUUGUAUUUAUUUGGUUAGGCAUGACUGCAACAGCUGUUUAUUUUUAGUGUUUGCAUCAAAUUGCUUGUUUAAAGUUUAUUAUGUAGUUCAUAAACAAAAGUUUGUCUUUUCUCAAUUUAAGUUUUCAGUUGUACAACCAAGUUCCUUCUUCAUACCAUGUAAAUUAAACUAUACAGAGCAAGUGAUCUUAUUUUUCACUGCAUGUAUGCUUCUGUUCUUCAUCUCUAAUCCAGUGGUGUGGUGAACCUACCCACUACAGCACAAUGUCAUAUUCUGCAAUGUCUUAACUAUGAACAAUGUCAUAUCAUUCUACUAUUAUUUAAAUCAUCUCUUUAUUCGCCAAUCUGAAAUGGUAUAAAUUGACAGCACACUAACCAUUGAUACUUAUGAGUUCUUGAUCUGUAAUCCAGUGGUGACGUGAAGCUGCCAACUCCUUCACAAUGUCAUUUCCUGCCAUGUCUUGACCUGAACAAUAGCAUAUUGUGUUAAUGCAAUUUUAAACUGUGUCACUUUAUUCGUCAGUAAGAAAUGUGAUGAAUUGUCAGCACUGAUACUUUUAUGUGCAAAACCUGUCAUCUGUCGGCUUGUUUAUCUUUCAGAGUGAGGAAGAUAUAAGUGUUGAACAAGCGCAAUCUCAUCAUCUUGCUCAGCUGCUUGUGUUGCAGCUCCCCAUCAGGGCUAACCUUUCUUGAACUCUAUUGAAGUGCUGUCGGUUUUGUAUAUUAUUUUGUCGGCAUGUUUAUUUGCACUGGUGGCGAUCUUUGAUGCCCAGUGUAUGUAAUCUGCUGUCUGCUUGUGCUUUAUUAUCAUAGUGGCGAACUUUGAUGCCCAGUGGAUGUAAUAUACCGUAAUUUCUUUAUUGUAUAGUCUAGGUUUUUUCUUAUUCACAAUGCUGUAGUUAUUUUACUAUAUAUGUAUCAUGUCUUCGCAGUAAACCGGGCAAACCAUAAAAUUACGGUACAUAAUCGGGCCGUCAUGCAAUCACGAUGUAGGUUUUGCCUGAAACGUGCCGAACUGCUCACGGGCCGGCAGCAGCCCGAAAUGAACCCCGGACCAUGAUUGUGCGAAUCAAAUCACGGGCUUUUAAUAGGCCAACAUUGUCUCGAUCCUUGUUUGGCCCAAUCAGAUAUCGGUUGCGAGUAGGCCGGAUGCAAACCGGGCUGUAGUUAGGCCCAACUAUAUGACGGGCUUUUAACAGGCCGAAAUAUUAAACGAUCCCUUAACAGGCCAAAACUAAUAUCAGGCCGAAUUACUAAGUGGGCCUUUAGCAAGUGGGCCCAAAAGCAUAGUGUCCAGUUGACGGGCCGAAUCUGAUAUGGGCCAUAAUUGAGCCCAAAGCCUCUUAAAGGGCCGGACCUGAUCUGGGCCGUAAUUUGGCCCAGAACAUGGUAGGCUUUUAACGGGCCGGAUCUCAUACGUGCCACUAUUAGGCCCGGAGCGUGGCAGGCCAUUAAUGGACCGGAUCAAAUAUGGGCCGUCAUUUGGCCCAAAACAUGGCAGCCAGUUAAUGGGUCGGCCUACUAGGGUCCUCAAAAUCUUGUGGGCCUACAGCUGGGUCGGCCCAUUAAUGUGGACGAAAUCUCGUGGGCCUUUAGCUGGGCCGGCCCAUUAUGAUCCGCAAGAAUCUUGUGGGCCUUUACCUGGGUCGGCCCAUUAUGGCACACAAAAAUCUUGUGGGCCUUUACCUGGGCCGGCCCAUUAUGUCCCGCAAAAUCUUGUGGGCCUUUAGCUGGGCCAGCCCAUUAUGGUCCGCAAAAUCUCGUGGGCCUUUAGUUGGGCCGGCCUAUUAUGGUCCACAAAAUCUUGUGGACCUUUAGUUGGGUCGGCCCAUUUAAACUUGAUGGGCCGGUCCACGUGUCAACAUAUCAUAGGCGCGUCUCGCCCAUUGGAUGAGUGACACCUGUGCCAAUGCGGACCUGACACGUGUCCCCUCCAACCAAUGAUGAUUUUACACGUGGAAAAUCCCCAUUGGUCGGGGCUGUUAACAGGUUGUCGGAUCCAAAACCCGACCCGAUAGCUUAACGGCGUUCCGUUAUGGUGGAUGCCAUGUGUCGGUCACCCUUGACGAAAGCACUUUUGUGACGCGUGAUUUAUCGUCAUGGAAGUGGACACUUCCGUGAUGAUAAUUUUGGUAAUGUCAUGGAACACUUCUACGACAGCACAUGUAUGACUAUCUUGAUUCUGUCAUAAAUUUGUCAUGGAUGUACAGGCAUGACAAAAAACGCAACCUACUGUGACAAACACGUAUCAUCACGGAAGUGUAUUUUUUGUAGUGCAUCACCUGGCUAGACUUGCAAGCUGCUGAUAUGUCUCCAUCAUAUCUACUUUUCCAUACACUUUUGCCCUUGUUUUGGACUCUAACUUGCAUGAUUUGAAUGGAACUAACCCGGACUGACGUUGUUUUCAGCCAAAUUGCCAUGGUGUUAUUUAUGUGCAGAAACAAAAGUUCUCGGAAUGACCUGAAACUUCACAGAACAUCUUUUCGGAAAUAAUAAAAAAUCCUUGUAAAAGAUGAAGACCAGGGGGGCCACCACCUGUCCACGACGGUGGAGGGCUCCCCCCCCUAGGGCGCGCCCCUACCUCGUGGGCCCCCUGGAGCUCCUCCGACCUAAACUCCAACUCUAUAUAUUUGGUUUCGGAGAGAAAAAAUCAGAGAGAAAGAUUCAUCGCGUUUUAUGAUACGGAGCCGCUGCCAAGCCCUAAAACCUCUCGGGAGGGCUGAUCUGGAGUCCUCUCGGGGCUCCGGAGAGGGGAAUCCGUCGGCAUCGUCAUCAUCAACCAUCCUCCAUCACCAAUUUCAUGAUGCUCACCGCUGUGCGUAAGUAAUUCCAUCAUAGGCUUGCUAGACGGUGAUGGGUUGGAUGAGAUCUAUCAUGUAAUCGAGUUAGUUUUGUUAGGGUUUGAUCCCUAGUAUCCACUAUGUUCUGAGAUUGAUGUUGCUAUGACUUUGCUAUUCUUAAUGCUUGUCACUAGAGCCCAAGUGCCAUGAUUUCAGAUCUGAACCUAUUGUGUUUUCAUCGAUAUAUGAAUGUUCUUGAUCCUAUCUUGCAACUCUAUAGUCACCUACUCUGUGUUAUGAUCCGGCAACCCCGAAGUGACAAUAAUCAGGACCACUCCCGGUGAUGACCAUAGUUUGAGGAGUUCAUGUAUUCACUAUGUGCUAAUGCUUUGUUCCGGUACUCUAUUAAAAGGAGGCCUUAAUAUCCCUUAGUUUCCAUUAGGACCCCGCUGCCACGGGAGGGUAGGACAAAAGAUGUCAUGCAAGUUCUUUUCCAUAAGCACGUAUGACUAUAUUCGGAAUACAUGCCUACAUUACAUUGAUGAAUUGGAGCUAGUUCUGUGUCACGCUAUGUUAUGAUUGUUACAUGAUGAACCGCAUCCGGCAUAAUUCUCCAUCACUGAUCCAUUGCCUACGAGCUUUCCACAUAUUGUUCUUCGCUUAUUUACUUUUCCGUUGCUAUUGCUAUCAUUACUACAAAAUACCAAAAACAUUACUUUUGCUACUGUUACCUUUUGCUACCGUUACCACUACUAUCGUAUUACUUUGCUACUAAAUACUUUGCUGCAGAUAUUAAGUUUCCAGGUGUGGUUGAAUUGACAACUCAGCUGCUAAUACUUGAGAAUAUUCUUUGGCUCCCCUUGUGUCGAAUCAAUAAAUUUGGGUUGAAUACUCUACCCUCGAAAACUGUUGCGACCCCCUGUACUUGUGGGUUAUCAAGACUUUUUUCUGGCGCCGUUACCGGGGAGCAUAGCUCUAUUUCUUUGAGUCACUUGGGAUUUAUAUCUUCUUAUCAUUAUGAAGAACUUGAGAGAUUCAAAAACCAAGAUUUAUCCCUCAACUACAAGGGGAGGUAAGGAACUGCCAUCUAGCUUUGCACUUGAUUCACCUUCUGUUUUGAGUAAGCUUGCGACACCUGAACCUGCUUCUGCUAUUCGUUCUGAUAUGUCGCAUGUUAUUGAUGAUGCCAUUUCUGCUAUGCAUGAUACUUAUGAUGAAACUACUUCUAUGCUUGAUACUACUGUGCCACUUGGUGAAUUUCUCGAUGAACAACUUGCUAGGGUUAGAGAGACUGAAAAUAUUGAAUUCGAUAAUAUUGAUACAAGUGAUGAUGAAGAUUCUUCCCCUAAUAAUGAACCACUUGUUAGUUCUGAAGGUUAUGUUUUUGAUAAAGAAGCUUCUUUAGCUAUUUUAGCUUGCAAAGAUAGAUACGAACUUAAGAGGUUAUUACCUAAAUGGAAUAAGCAAUCUCUAAAUGAUAAGAUGAAACCUGACCCUACUUUUGCUACUUCACCUAUCUUUGUUACUGAUAAAUAUUUUGAAUUCUCCGUUGAUCCUGAUAUAAUUACUUUGGUUGAAUCUGAUCCUUUUCAUGGCUAUGAAUCUGAAACUGUUGUGGCACAUCUUAGUAAAUUAAAUGAUAUAGCUACCCUGUUCACUAAUUGUGGUGGUUUUGUCACGGCAGAUGUCCUAGAGAAAGGACUUAGUCAUGGAGCCAUCGCGACAGGUUAGCUUGAAGGGGUUAAAGCGGACACAGGGACGCAAGAGAGUUAUACUAGUUCAGCCCCUUCGAUGAAGGUAAAAGCCUAUGUCUAGUUGUGAUGGAAUUGAUGGGUUUUCGAUGACUAGGGAGCAAACAAGCUUCGUCUAUGUCUCGAGUUGUUGUCUCUCUUUGAACUGCCGCCGGGUCGUCCCCUUAUAUACACGGGUGACACCCGUCGGUUCACAGAGUCCCAACACCGGUCGAUAUUCGUAUUCCGGGUUGGUCUCUCCUUAUUCCUAACUUACAAUACAAGUUUAUAUACAAAUCCCGGUUUAUAGCUACAAGUCUUGAACCGGCUACGGGCCUUAGGCCCUCAUCUGCCUUCUUGGGCUUUAUCACUCUUGAAUUACUGAUGAAGUUGACCCGGCCCAGAUAGGCCGGUUUACGCCCAGCAGUAAUAUCCCCAACAUUAGGCCCCAGAUUGAUUUGAACGGGUUCAUGUCAAUCCUUUAACAAAAGCUUCAUCUUCAACAUCUUCUCAUAAAUUGGUAAACCGCCAUGAUGUCAUCUUCUCUGAUUGCUGUAAACCGGAGUGACGUCACCUGUCAUAACGAAGCUAUCCAUUAUGCUUGUUUGUUUAAUAGCUCUGUGAAAAUCGAGGUGAUAGCUCCAUUUCGUGGCCCCUUGAUUGUCGCGCCUGACACAUGUUCUUUCGCCUUAUAAAUAGGACCGAAGGGUCAUUUCUUUUCUCCCCUUCGUGCCUUUCUUCUUCGUCUUCCUCGCGUCGCCAGCCUCAGAGCUCCGCCGUCGUCGUCGACCUCUGCCUCAACCUUGGCCGCUGCAUCAACCUGAGCGCACCAGAGCAUUGCGGCAACCUUCCGUGUCUUCCUCAGCUCCGGUAAAUCUUCUAUCCUUUCCCCCGCAGAUCUGACCUAGGGUUUCACAGUUCUUCAGUGUUCAUCGUCUGCCUCUUGCUCAUACGAUAGAUCUUUAGAUGACUCCGCAAAUCUUUACUCUGUGCAAUGGUAGCUGUUUUACCCUUCGCCUUCACUUACACAACUCAAAACCAUAGAUCUAUAUGUACGUCUUGCUCAUUGAUUCGGUACUGCUCCUUUUGGACCUCUGAAUAUUUAUCUUUUUUCUGAACUUGCUUCAGAUCCAUCGCUGUAGAAAAAUCUUACGAAAUCUGUUUCUAUAAACUUACUCAUCUGCUUCAAUGUUCAAACCAGGUGGUUUAACCUUGUAGAAAAAAAUUGCCAAACCGGUAUAUACCAUUAGUCCCCUUGUUGAACCGCCAGAUGUUGUUGCUUCAUAAAAGUCCGGUUCAGAUAGAUCUGUCUCCGGUUUAACAUUGCACAUACCAAUGUACCUUGAUCAAAUGCAUUUUUGAACCGGGAUCUUCUACCUUGUAGAUUCCAUCAUGGCUAAGCAAGUAUAUGAGUGCAAUUGGGUUCCUUCUCGCGUCACAGAGGCUCAGCUGGACGAUCUAGUCCCGAUCGGCGCUUUAGGCAGCAAAGAUACAAUCCAUUGGAGCGCUCCUAGCAAAGAAUGCCCUCCCACUCCUCAAGGAGAGGUUGUUGUUUUCAUAGAUCACUUAGCUCGGGGCUUUAAGCCGCCUGGUUCUAAAUUUUACCGGGAUGUUUUGGCCGAUUUCCAACUCCAUCCACAAGACACUGGCCCCAAUUCUGUUACAAAUAUGUGUCACUUCCAAGUGCUCUGUGAGGCGUUCUUUCAAUAGGAGCCCACAGUGGAAUUGUUCAGAGACCUUUUCCAUCUAAACCGCCGUACUGAGUUUACUGACAGCUCCAAUACAGAGUUGGGUGGUGUGGCGAUCCAGAAAAGGAAAGAGGUCACAUACCCUCACGCCAAACUGCACAGCCACCCCAAAGAGUGGAAUCAGACAUGGUUCUAUUGCAAAGACACCUCCCCUGCUGGUGAGAAUCCCUUGCGUGGCUUUCGUCUGGAGCGGCUCAGCAAUACACACCCUUUUCCGCAAAGAUUGACUGCCCAGGAGAGAAGCAAAUAUGCUCCUCAACUGUCGAAGCUCAGAGCCUUUAUGGCCAACGGUUUAACAGGGGUUGAUCUCGCUCGCUGUUGGAUAUCAUGGAGCAUACUGCCCCUUAGUCAGUGCUCCGGUUUGAUGUGCGAGUAUACCGGCAGUGUUGAUGACCCACUGCGACAUUCCAAAAUCCAGCUCACCGAUGAAGAAAUCACAGAGGUUGUGAAUAAGAUGCUGAAUGAACCGGAACAUAUCUGUGCUAAAAACGGUCUGCUUCCCUUCUGUGCCACCAACAAACCGCCAGCUGUAAGACCUUGAUUUUUCCUUUUGUUGAAUCUGCUAUUGAUAUAUCUGGUCAUUGUUUAAUAUCAGUGUCUGUGUAAUCAGGGCAAUGAUCCGUUUUGGAGCAAGAAAUUGCCGCAGGAGAAACCAGAAAAACCAGACAAACCGGAAAGAGAAACCCGGCAAAAGACUAAAGUUGUAAAGAAGAUAGCCCACAGGAAAAGAACUACUGCAUCUUCUAAUCCGGCCCCUGAUGAUGAUGUGAAUAAUCCGGACCUUGAGGUAGAGCUUGACUCACUUGGCUUAUUUUUCAUGCGUCUUAUUGAUGAUGAUAUUUGUCAGGAUGAUGCCAAAGCCAGUCACGCUGAUGCUGCAGAGGUAAUUAUUCUCUCUUCCGAUUCAGAACCUUUGGCUUCGCUAAAAAUCCGUCAGGCAAACCGAAAAGUUAAAUUUUCUCAUCCUCUUGCUUAUUUGGAUCCCAAAUUUCUUAUGAAGACCCAACAGCACGAAGCUCGUCGCACAACCCGGCACAGCGGCCAGGUAGUUACCUCCGCCGGUUUACCGAAUAGUCCGGUUCGGAAACGCCGUUCAGAGGUCUCUAAUUUGCUUGUCAGUGAUUGUCCUAAAGCGGGCUGCUUUCGUCAGCCUCUUAAUCCAUCUGACUCCGAUUACCAGGUUACUUCCCACUCAUCUUCUGGCGAGUCAUCGGCUACUCAGCUGCCACCUCUCAAAAUGGUGCUUGUGUAAGCUAUACUUAUUAUGAUAUUUGCAGCACAUCACCUUAGAACAUAUGCUGUAUUUGAUUUUGUUAUUCUUUUCCGGGCCAAACCUAGGCCAAGCAAGAAGGCCUGCCUGGAAAAAGCGGCCGAAGAAGAUGCCAUUCUUGAGCCAGGCAAGACACCCGAUCUUGAAGCGGCUAUUCCCGAGGAUAUACCCAACGAUCCACCGCAGCAAGACGACGAUCUUAUUGCUGAAGAGAGACCUACUGAUGCCUCAGGUCCUGUCAAUCAGCCCACAGGCUCCAUCCGGAUUGAGAGAUCCACCGGUCCAGCAAAACCUACUGACAAGCCAACAGCCCUAGUGAAAACCGGUGAUACUUAGGAGGAUGAGGUUAUCAUUACUGGUACUGGCCAUACCGAGCCAAGCAAUCCUGUUGCUUUGUCCAAACCUUCUACCAAGGAAGAAUUUGUUGCCUUUGGUAAAGGCAAGUGGAAUGCUGAUCUAGCAACUUACGCUGCUCUGAACGCCCAAGAUAUCCAUUCCGGCUACCUGAACCGGCUGUAUAGCAGCCGUGACUAUGAAGCCAGUCUGGUUAAUAUGAUGAAGGAUAAAUACGAGGUAACUUCCAUAUGCUCUUUCCUGCUUCUAUGCUUCAAUACUUGCUGACUCUCCUAGCCCCCAAGGGCCAGUUUGUAAUCUUCUUUCAAACCGGGACUUACUAAUAUAAAUCUUAAUGUUUUGAAAUUCGCCGAUGUAGCCCCCAAGGGCCGGUUCAACUUAGCGUAGUUAAACCGGUACUUUAAGUAAUUGAAAUCGCCGCAUCAGAAUAUAUAUACGAGCAAAUAGCCAUUAGCCCCCAAGUGCCAAGUUUAAUACUUGUAUUGAUCUUGGGACUUUGUAAGCAAUUGAAAGAUGAAGAUCGAAUAUGCAUUAGCCCCCAAGUGCUAAGUGCAUAACUUGUUAUGUGGUUGGCACUUCAAUCUUUGUACCAUUUUGUUGAAGCAUAUAACUGUCUGCAUGCAGGCGGAGCUGAAGACGAAAGAAAGCCAAGUCGCCGAUCUCCAAGAAAAUCUAAAAACCCAACAAGCUGAAACCUCCAAAGCAAAAGAGGAAUUAGACAAUGCUUUAAGCGCCAUGGAACAGCUUAAGGAGAGCUUCAAAAAGAAGCGGGCGGAUUGGGCCACUGAAAAGUCCGCUUUAAUCAAACGAGCAGAGGAUGCCGAGGCUGCACUAAAACCAGUGGCGGAUGAACUGACCAGCAUAAAGCGGCACGUGCAUGCCAUGACUAUUGCUAUCUUUGGUAAGCCUGUUUGACUUCUGAAUUGGCUCUGUCUUCUUACAGAGUUGCCAGUUUAUUAACUCUUUAUGGUAUUUCAGGGACACGCAUUGGUCACUUGGGGUCAGAUGUGCGGAAGAAACUGAAAGCCGCCUAUACAUUGGUUGAACAAUUGUAUACUGGUGCCCAGCGGAUCAUCUGUACCGCAUCCCAUAACAAACCGGCGCCCACUUUGAUUCAAGACACUCUGAUGAAAAUGUCGGUGCUUCCUGCCCGGGUUGAAGAGCUGAAGAAAUCUGCUGCUCGAACCGGUGCGAUCAAUGCCUUAAUCCGGGCAAAAGCCUAGGUGCCGAAUUUUGAUCCUAUUGAAGCGGCUCAGGGCUAUCCCAGCUUGAAGGAAGACGGGUCAGAGUUUGGUGAAGCGGAUCUGCGAGCAAUAAACCGGGAGGUACGUCCGCUAGCUUGUCAAUUGGCUGAAGAAGCAGACUUGUCUCAUUAUCAAGCCCAAUAUGACAAUCAGAACAAGCGAAUAGCUGCACCAAUCCAUGAAUCGGAAAAUCUGAUCCCUCCAAUCCGUAAGCAUACUUACGCUCCCGAUAUUGACCCGUCAUUGCUGAUCCAUGAUGAAGCUAUUUUUCAAGCACUAAUGGGAAUCGUCUGGACAACUAUUGAUUUCCAGCCACUGGGUAGAGAAAUGGAGGCUGAAGCGGCGCAGGAUGACCCACAACCAUCAGGCCAGGCUGGUGACCAAGCUUGAACCGGAAGCCGGUUUUAAAACUGCCUCUCCUUUGCGAAAAACAAUGAUAUUAUUAUAGGCACCGUGAUGCCUUGUAAUAAGCUAGCCGAUACUUUUGAUGUUGAUAUGCCUUCGUGCAUAAUUUGUUCUUCCUGUGGUGAUGAACUUUCCAAAGCACUUUCUGCAAUAAGAAACUCUUCAAGUGCCACCGCGGUUGUACCGUCAGGCGGAAUAUGAUGUCUGCAUAUAUGAAGUCAAAACAUCCAAAAAAAUUUAAGUAUAUGACCAAAAUUUUGAGAUACAUAAUACCUGCCAUCGUUGAGCGUGAAGUUGGCUUGGCCAAUCUUGAAGUGGAGUUUUGCAAACCCACACUAUUGGAGGAAAUAACAGCUCCUGUAUAUAUAUAUGACGCUGGUUUACCAUGUAAACCAUGCCGGGUUAUAAUAAACACUGUGUUACUCCAUAAGAGGAUGUUAACAACAAGGAUCAAACCGGGCAAAUAGUCUCCAGAUUGACGUGAACUAUGUUCCGUCAAUUGAUUGGUUGAAAACUUUGUCGAUUUUAAAAAAACGCAAUAAAAAAGAAAAGAAAAAGUAUCUUGCAAAGAAAAGUGCGAAGCAAAAGCAAUGACAAAACCUUUGCAAAAAAGGUUUAUUUGAGCUGAUCAAAUGGCGUUACCAUGACCGAACACGACCAGGCUCCCGUUAGGUGUAACUAUGGUUCUAGUCAGCCAGGUCCCCAAAUGAAACUGUGGCAUUUAUGCCGACCAAGUGGCAUGGCAAUGGUUCGGGUUCGACCAAGCCCCCAAGUGAUUUUGUGGCCUUAGGCCAAUCAAGAGGCAUGAUUGGUUCAAACGUGACCAAGUCCCCAAGUGAUCUGGUGGCUCUCGCCUAUUAAGAGGUAUGGUAUUGGUUCGGACACGACCAAACCUCCAAGUGAUAUAACAUGAUGCUUUUUAAAAAGCGAACUCAAGGGGUAAACCGGAGGCCGCUUUAGAACAACUCCGUGUAACCACACAUGAUGUAAAAGAACAGAUACCCCGCUUUAGCUGAGGUUCCGGUUUAUUAUAUUUAAUCAUAAUAUAUACAUCAUUGUAAUAUGUACAUAAGUAGAACCAAUGGCUCAGGUAUAAUAAGGCCGAAGAUGAGCUAUGUUCCACGGCCUGUUGGUCUCCUCCUCUGACGUACGUGAGUCCUUAUGCUCUCGAAUAUCGAUCAGAUAGUAUGACCCGUUGUGCAGAUUCUUGCUGACCACGAAAGGCCCCUCCCAAGGUGGGGAUAACUUAUGCAUAUCAGUCUGAUCUUGGAUGAGCCGAAGCACCAAAUCUCCUUCCUGGAAGGUUCUGGUUCUCACUCGGCGACCGUGAUAACGACGAAGAUCCUGUUGGUAAAUCGCCGAUCGGGCGGCUGCUAUGUCACGCUCUUCAUUCAACCGGUCCAAAGCAUCUUGCCGUGCUGUCUUGUUGUCCGCUUCAAUGUAAGCCGUCACACGAGGUGAAUCAUGACGGAUAUCACUGGGGAGAACCGCCUCCGCUCCAUAAACCAUGAAGAACGGUGUGUAUCCUGUUGACCUGUUGGGUGUUGUAUUGAUGCUCCAUAACACAGAUGGUAAUUCUUCUACCCAACAACUCGGCGUUCUCUGCAAAGGAACCAUGAGCCGGGGCUUGAUGCCUCUCAAGAUCUCUUGAUUAGCUCUUUCUGCUUGACCAUUGGACUGUGGGUGUGCCACUGAUGAAACGUCGAGCCGGAUGUGCUCCCGUUCGCAGAACUCCUUCAUGGCACCUUUGGACAAAUUGGUACCAUUAUCUGUGAUGACACUGUGUGGAAAGCCAAACUGAAAAAUCACUUUCUUAAUGAACUGAACCGCCGUGGCCGCAUCACACUUGCUAACAGGUUCUGCCUCCACCCACUUUGUAAACUUGUCAACCGCCACCAGGAGGCGGGUCUUCUUAUCUUUGGACCUUUUGAAAGGCCCAACCAUAUCCAACCCCCAAGUCGCAAACAGCCAAGUAAUUGGAAUCAUUCUCAAUUCUUGAGCUAGUACAUGAGUACGUCUUGAGAACUUUUGGCAACCAUCACACCGUCUGACCAGAUCCUCUGCAUCAGCAUGAGCAGUUAACCAAUAGAAGCCUUGGCGAAACGCUUUAGCCACCAGAGAUUUUGAACCGGCGUGGUGACCACAAUCUCCUGUGUGGAUCUCACGCAAAAUUUCACGGCCUUCUUCACGAGACACACAGCGUUGAAAUGCUCCUGACAUACUGCAAUGAUGCAACUCUCCGUUGAUAAUAGUCAUGGACUUGGAUCGUCGGAUUAUCUGUCUGGCCAGAAUCUCAUCCUCUGGUAACUCGCCCCGGUUCUUGUACGCCAGGUAGGGAAGCGUCCAAUCUGGAAUAACAUGAAGAGCUGCCACCAAUUGAGCCUCCGGAUCAGGAAUAGCCAAAUCUGCUUCACCAGGGAUCUUGACCGACGGGUUGUGCAGCACAUCCAGAAAAACAUUGGGUGGAACCGGUUUGCGCUGAGAGCCCAGCCGGCUUAAAACGUCCGCCGCUUCAUUUUUCCGCCGGUCCAUGUGGUCCACCUGAUAGCCUUUGAAAUGACCUGCAACAAUAUCCACCUCACGACGAUAUGUUGCCAUGAGUGGAUCCUUGGAGUCCCAAGUGCCACACACUUGCUGAGCCACGAGGUCCGAGUCACCGAAGCACUUAACUCGACCUAGAUUCAUCUCCUUAGCCAUCCAGAGACCAUGGAGCAAGGCUUCAUACUCAGCUGCAUUGUUAAUACAAGGGAACAUUAAGCGGAGAACAUAACAAAACUUAUCACCUCGCGGGGAAGUUAAUACGACUCCAGCCCCUGAACCUUCCAAUUGCCGGGAUCCGUCAAAAUGGAUGGUCCAAUAUGUGUGAUCCGGAUUUUCCUCAGGUGCUUGCAUUUCCGUCCAAUCAUUGAUAAAAUCAACCAGUGCUUGAGACUUAAUCGCCGUCCGAGGCACAUACUUCAAAUCGUGCGGCCCAAGCUCUAUAGCCCACUUGGCAAUCCGGCCAGUUGCUUCCCGGUUCUGGAUGAUAUCCCCCAAAGGAGCAGAACUGACCACCGUAAUUGGAUGCCCUUGGAAGUAUUGUUUAAGCUUCCGGCUUGCCAUAAAAACUCCAUACACCAGCUUCUGCCAAUGCGGAUACCUUUGCUUGGACUCAAUGAGCACCUCGCUGAUAUAAUAGACCGGACGUUGAACCGGAUGCUCCUUACCUGCCUCCUUUCGCUCCACCACAAUAGCCACGCUGACCGCCCGAGCAUUAGCAGCAACAUAUAGCAGUAACGGCUCCUUGUCAAUGGGAGUGGUGAGCACAGGCGGAUUGGCCAAUUGCCGCUUUAAGUCCUCAAAUGCUUCAUCAGCAGCAGAACUCCAAACAAACUGAUCCGUCUUCUUCAACAUCUGAUACAACGGGAUUGCCUUCUCACGAAGACGACUGAUAAACCGGCUUAACGCGGCAAUCCGGCCUGCCAGGCGUUGAACAUCAUUGAUACACUUCGGUUUAGCCAGGGACGUGAUGGCUGUGAUCUUCUCCGGAUUAGCCUCAAUUCCCCUAUUGGACACCAGGAAGCCUAAUAACUUGCCCGCCGGUACACCAAAGACACAUUUUUUCGGAUUAAGCAUCAUCUUGUAUGUCCUCAGGUUAUCUAAAGUUUCCUUUAAAUCGCCAAUCAGAGUCUCCUUCUCGCUGGAUUUAACCACGAUAUCAUCCACGUAGGCGUGUACAUUACGGCCAAUCUGUUUGUGUAGACAAUUUUGCACACAACAUUGAUAAGUUGCCUGGGCACUCUUGAGCCCAAAGGGCAUAGACACAUAGCAGAAGGCUCCAAAGGGAGUUAUGAAUGGCGUUUUCUCCUGGUCCUUAACUGCCAUUUUGAUCUGAUGAUAGCCAGAAUAUGCAUCCAAAAAAGUUAAACGCUCACAACCCGCCAUAGCAUCAAUAAUUUGAUCAAUACGGGGGAGGGCAAAAGGAUCUGCUGGACAAGCUUUAUUAAGAUCUGUGUAAUCCACACACAUGCGCCAGGUGCCGUUUUUCUUAAGGACCAGCACCGGAUUGGCAAGCCACUCAGGGUGAAAAACUUCAACAAUAAAACCAGCUGCUAAGAGCCUGACUACCUCUUCUCCAAUUGCCUUGAGUCUGUCUUCGUUAAACCGGCGGAGGAACUGUUUCACCGGUUUGUAUUUAGGAUCCACAUUAAGGGUGUGCUCAGCGAGUUGCCUCGGUACACCUGGCAUAUCAGAGGGCUUCCAUGCAAAAAUGUCCCAAUUCUCACGGAUGAACUCGAUGAGCGCGCUUUCCUAUUUCGGAUCCAAAUUAGCGCUGAUGCUGAACUGCUUGGACGAAUCGCUAGGUACAAAGUCAACAAGCUUAGUUUCUGCUGCUGAUUUGAACUUCAGGGGCGGAUCAUGCUCCGUAGUUGGCUUCUUUAAUGAGGUCAUGUCCGCCGGAUCAACAUUGUCCUUAUAAUACUUCAGCUCCUCAGUGGCACAAACCGACCCUGCAUAGGCCGCAUCACCUUCCUCACACUCCAAAGCGAUUUUGCGGCUUCCGUGAACCGUUAUUGUCCCCUUGUGACCCGGCAUCUUGAGCUGCAAAUACACAUAACAGGGCCGUGCCAUAAACUUGGCGUAGGCCGGUCGCCCAAAUAGGGCGUGAUACGGACUUUGGAUUUUCACCACUUCAAACAUCAAUGUCUCCGACCUGGAAUCAUGAUCAUCCCCAAAGGCCACUUCCAGAGCUAUCUUACCAACAGGAUAUGCUGAUCUGCCAGGUACUACACCGUGGAACACCGUAUUAGACGGUUUAAGAUUUUUAUCUAUUAAUCCCAUACAAUGAAAGGUCUCAUAGUACAAGAUAUUAAUGCUGCUACCUCCAUCCAUGAGCACCUUGGUGAACUUGUAACCUCCCACCUGAGGUGCCACCACCAGAUCCAACUGACCCGGAUUAUCGACCUGGGGAGGGUGAUGCUCUCUGCUCCAUAUGAUUGGCUGUUCAGACCAACAUAGAUAACGGGGUAUGGCCGGUUCAACAGAGUUGACCGCCUGCCUCUGAACCUUCCGGUCUCGCUUGUCCAAGCUAGUGGUGAAGACAUGGUGCCCACUACUCAACUUCUUUGGGUUGCUCUGGUAACCUGACUGUUGCUGCUGUUGGUUGUAACCACCCUGGUUGUUCUGACUAUUUUGACCAUUAUGUCCGCCCGGAUUACCAUUAAAUCCUGAACCGGAACUUCCUCCACCGUAACCCGGCCCGGAUCCUGAGCCACCGCCAGAUUCGUGAUCAUACCGGAAAUUAUUAGAAUUCUUGAACUCCUGCAUAAUAAAGCAAUCCUUCCAAAGGUGGUUUGCUGGCGCCUCCUUCGUCCCAUGUCUUGGACAGGGCUGGCUUAGCAGAUAAUUUAGGCGGUCUGGGUUAGGGUUGGGUGCCCCAUUACGAUUUUUCGGUUUACCCUUGCGUCGCUGGCCAUUGUCAUGUGCGUUGGUAUUAGCCACAAAGUCCAUGUUACCAUCCGCUUUACGCUUGCCUCCACCACCAUUGCCUGCCCAGUGAUGCUGCUGACCUUUGGAGUUUUUGUUCCUCUUUCCCUUCCCUGUCUUGUCAUCAUCAGAUUCGGGAUCCUUGGUACUAUCAGAAUCAGCAUAUUUCACCAAAGCGGCCAUGAGGGUCCCCAUGUCAAUGCAAUGACGCUUCAUCCGUCCCAACUUCAGCUUCAGGGGCCCAAACCGGCAGUUGCCUUCUAGGGUUAAUACUGCGGUGUCAGCGUUGAUGCGGUCUGAUGAGUGCAACACUUGUGAAACCCGGCGCACCCAAUGAGUCGUUGAUUCUCCUUCCUCCUGGACGCAUGCAGCUAAGUCCCCUAUCGACAUAGGUUGUUUACAUGUAUCCUUGAAAUUGCUGAUAAACCGGGCUCGUAAUUGGGCCCAUGAACUGAUAGAAUUAGCCGGCAAGCUUUUUAACCAAGUAUGGGUCGUUCCUUCAAGCAUCAUGGUGAAGUAUUUCGCACACGCCGCGUCAUCCACAUCAAGCAUCUCCAUGGCCAUCUCAUAGCUCUCCACCCAUGUCUCUGGAGGCUGAUCCGCCAUGUAAUUUGGUACCUUACGCGGGCCCUUGAAAUCCUUGGGCAGGCGCACAUUGCGUAAAGCGGGGAUAAGGCAAGGCACCCCCAAAGAACUAGAAGUAACACCAGGUUCGAUCGAGAUGGUUGGACGAACCGGCGUGAGCUGCCGAGCCUGAUGUUGUGUGGCUAACUCGGCCUCCCUGCGCGCUCGGGCCCGGUUCACCACUUCAUGAGCGUUAUCAGCACCACCCGUCGGGUUGUUGCCACGGGGUGCUCCACGUCGUUCGUUACUCAACACUGCCAGUUCAUCCAUAUGUCUGCUAUAGCUCCGGCUUGGAUGGGGGGUCGAGUGGAUCCGGUCGCGGCUGUACGAGUAUGCUUCCUGUUGGACCAAAGCUGUCCUCAGAAGCUCCUUGACCCGUUGCGUCUCUACUGCCUGCGGCGAAUCACCUUCAAUUGGAAUGGCCUCCAGCCGUGCAGCAGCGACAACGAGAUUGUCCAUCGGGUUGGAGUAGUGACCCACAGGUGUUAAAACAGCCUAAGGUAUAACGGUGUUUUGACGAGGCGAGUCCAUCUGACGAGGCUGAACCGGUGCACCGGUCCCGGGAGCUUCCGCCCGGUUUCCCUCCAGCGGAUUGCCGGUUCCUACUCCUAGAGUGUUGAAAAGGUCUCUGGCCUCAAAAACCGGAGGCAAACGGGAUCGGUACUUCCUCCUCAUGACUUCCUGCGACACACUCUGGUCCAACAUGAGCAUGUAGGCUUGUGCGUCUAAAGCGGCCCGCUCCAUGGCCAUCCUGGUGUCCUCGGCUGCCAGAUCUGCCUUGGCCUGGGUGAUCUAUUCCUUCACUUUUGCAAUCUCUGCGUUGUGAACGCCCUGAUCCGCCGGAUUAGCCUCCGCCAUAAGCACAACCAAUGCAUCAAAUAGCUCUGAUAGAACUUGAGCCGGUGGGCGCACAGGGCCUCCUGCCCCGGCAGCCAUCGCCGCUGCUGAACCGGAGGUUGUUGCCGCAGCGGUCGGAGAAUGAAGCGCUGCUUGUGUGCCAGUCAUGAAUAUUCCAACCCGGUUGGGCAGAUCAGAGGGGUCCGGAAUACUGUCGCCAUCGGAACAGCCCCCAAUCCGGCCGUCUUGUAGCUGAUAAAGAGAUUCAGUUUCUCCGGUCGAUGACUCGUCAUCGGAACAAACGAUGGUAUAGUCGCGAGAUUCCGAUCCAUCCUCAUAACUUCCUCCAUGGAUGACUCCCACGAAGGCACGCUUCAUGGCCGGUUCAACCCGGGCGGAUCGCGCACGCUGAACCGUCUCGACAAGGUCGGUGCAGAUGUCCGGCUCAGGGCCCGGUUCACCGAUCUUGCCAAUGAAAACGUGAAUGCCACCAAAGGGGACCCGGUACCCGUACUCAAUUGAGCCGGCCUCGGGGGCCCAGCCUGCGUCGUCGAUGUAGAACUUGCCGCGACGACUCUUAGUCAUCCGGCCUACAGCGUAGCCCUCGAGUCCUUCAAAGCGGCCCUCCAAGAACCGGAAACCAUCGUGCGAUAGCCCCACGGUGGGCGCCAACUGUCGUGGUUUUGUCACUGCAAAUGUCCUAGAGAAAGGACUUAGUCAUGGAUCCAUCGCAACAGGUUAGCUUGAAGGGGUUAAAGCGGACACAGGGACGCAAGAGAGUUAUACUAGUUCGGCCCCUUCGAUGAAGGUAAAAGCCUACGUCUAGUUGUGAUGGAAUUGAUGGGGUUUCGAUGACUAGGGAGCAAACAAGCUUCGCCUAUGUAUUGAGUUGUUGUCUCUCUUUGAACCACCGCCGGGUCGUCCCCUUAUAUACACGGGUGACACCCGUCGGUUCACAGAGUCCCAACACCGAUCGAUAUUCAUAUUCCGGGUUGGUCUCUCCUUAUUCCUAACUUACAAUACAAGUUUAUAUACAAAUCCCGGUUUAUAGCUACAAGUCUUGAACCGGCUACGGGCCUUAGGCCCUCAUCUGCCUUCUUGGGCUUUAUCACUCUUGAAUUACUGAUGAAGUUGACCCGGCCCAGAUAGGCCGGUUUAUGCCCGUCAGUAAUAUCCCCAACACUAAUGAUGAAAUAACUCGCUACUUUUAUAUCCUUCAAAUAUUUCUAUUCUCAUUAAAAGGUGAUGCUAAGAUAUGGUUUAAUUCUCUGGAUCUUGGUUAUGUGCGUAGUCCCCAGGAUAUGAUCUAUUACUUCUCUGCUAAAUAUUUCACUGCUCAUAAGAAACAAGUUGCUUUAAGGGAUAUAUAUAAUUUUGUGCAAAUUGAAGAAGAGAGUCUCCCACAAGCCUGGGGGACGCUUCUCCAAUUACUUAAUGCUUUGCCUGAUCAUCCUCUUAAUAAAAAUGAAAUACUUGAUAUCUUUUAUAAUGGACUAAUGAUGCGUCCAGAGAUUACCUAGAUAGUUGUGCUAGUUCUAUUUUCAGGGAAAGAACGCCGGAUGAAGCUGAAAUUCUAUUGAAUAAUAUGUUGACAAGUGAAAAUAAUUCGACACUUCCCAAGCCUAUUCCUAAACCAACUCCGAAGAAAAGGGGUAUUCUAUUUCUCAAUCCUGAAGAUAUGCAAGAGGCAAAGAAAUCUAUGAAAGAAAAGGGUAUUAAAGCUGAAGAUGUUAAGAAUUUACCUCCUAUUGAAUUAAUACACGGUCUUAAUUUACCGCCUGUUGAAGAAACAUAUGAUCUUAAUCCUCCACCUAUUGAAGAAACUCAUGGUCUUGAUAACCCGACACAGGUAGUAAAGGUAAAUUCUCUCUAUAGAUAUGAUAAAGUUGAAAUCCCGUUUACUAAAUUUACUAGCCCAUGCUUAGAUGAGUUUGAUAAAUUUAUUGUUAAGCAAGAAGAUUUUAAUGCUUGUUUUGGUAGACAAUUGAAAUACAAUUCAAAUAUGCUUGAACACUUGGGUGAUCAUAUGGCUAAUGUCAAAGGUGAACUUAAAUUUAUUAGUAAACAUGCUUCCAUGGUUACCACUCAAGUAGAACAAGUACUUAAAGCUCAAAAUGAUUUGCUCAAUGAAAUGAAUAGUAAUAAAAAUGAUAACGUUGUAAGAGUUAUGACUAGAGGUGGUAGAAUGACUCAAGAACCUUUGUAUCCUGAAGGCCAUCCUAAGAGAAUUGAGCAAGAUUCUCAGAGAAAUAAUGUAGAUGCACCUAGUCCUUCUAAAAGGAAGAAAAAGAAAAAUGAUAGGACUUUGCAUGCUUCUAGUGAACCUAUUACUGCACCACCUAAGAAUCCAAAUGAUAUUUCUAUUUCUGAUGCUGAAACACAAUCUGGUAAUGAACCUGAAAUUAAUGAUAAUGUUCAUGAUGAUGCUCAACAUAGUAAUGAUAAUGAUGUAGAAAUUGAACCUGCUACUGAUCUUGAUAACCCACAAUCAAAGAAUCAACAUUAUUAUAAGAAAGACUAUGUUGCUAGGAAACAUGGUAAGGAAAGAGAGCCUUAGGUUCAGAAAACCAUGCCUUUUCCUCCCAAACCAUCCAAGAAAAAGGAUGAUGAGGAUUUUGAGCGCUUUGCUGAAAUGAUUAGACCUAUCUUUUUGGGCAUGCGAUUAACUGAUAUGCUCGAAAUGAAUCCUUAUGCUAAGUAUAUGAAAGAAAUUGUUACUAAUAAAAGAAAGAUACCGGAAGCUGAAAUUUCAACCAUGCCUGCUAAUUAUACUUUUAAGGGUGGAAUACCAAAGAAACUUGGAGAUCCAUGAGUACCUACUAUACCUUGCUCCAUUAAAAGCAAUUAUGUUAAAACUGCUUUAUGUGAUCUUGGAGCCGGUGUUAGUGUUAUGCCUCUCUCUUUAUAUCGUAGACUUGAUUUGAAUAAGUUGACACCUACUGAAAUAUCUUUGCAAAUGGCUGAUAAAUCAACUGCUAUACCUGUCAGUAUUUGUGAGGAUGUGCCUGUUGUAGUUGCAAAUGUUACUAUUUUAACGAACUUUGUUAUUCUUGAUAUUCCCGAGGACGAAAGUAUGACUAUUAUUCUUGGAAGACCUUUUUUGAAGACUGCAGGGGCUGUUAUUGAUUGCACUAAAGGAAAUGUCACUUUUCAUGUUAAUGGUAAUGAGCAUACGAUACACUUUCCGAGGAAACAACCUCAAGUUCAUAGUAUCAACUCUAUUGGAAAAACUCCAUCGAUUAUAUUUGGAGGUUUUGAAUAUCCUCUUCCUACUGUCAAGAAGAAAUACGAUAUUCUUAUUAUUGGGGAUGUGCAUAUCCCCGUUGAGGUAACAUAGUGUUAUUCAAAAUUUCUUCGGUUCCAUGUUAUUCAGAAUUAGUUCAUUAACAAGACUUGAUCAACCUUGUUAGUGGAUUCCUUUUGAUGAGCAUGAGAUGGAUGAAACUAGAAAGCAAAACUCUCUGUACCUUCCUUUUACUUUCUGUUAUUUAUAUUAAAUAAAAUAAAAAUAAGUAUUCACGUCUGUUAUUUGAAUAUCCGUGUAAUAUAAAAAAUACCCCAAAAAUAAAAGUUCUCCAAAUGCCCUGAAAUUUAAAUAUGAUUUUUUUCUGGAAUAUUUGAGAAUAUAUGGAACUGAGAACACAGCAGGGGGAUCAACCACCUGGCCAUGAGGGUGGAGGGUGCGCCCUACUCCCUGGGCGCGCCCCCUACCUCGUGGGCCCAUGGUGGAUCUCCUCCACUUAUUUCUGCACCCAUACACUUCCUUUUUCUCCCACAAACACGAAUAUCCAACUCAAGCACGAGUUCUAGCUCAUUUUGCUGCCAUUUUCGAUCUCCUUGCUCAAAGCGCCUCUCUCACAAAACUGCUUGGGGAGAUUGUUCCUUUGUAUGUGACUCCUCCAUUGGUCCAAUUAGUUUUUGUUCUAGUGCUUUAUUCAUUGCAUAUUUUUGCUGCUUAGGUGACCCUGUUCUUGAGCUUGCAUGUCAAAUUUAUAUGGUCAAAAUUAGUUUUGAUGCAUGAUAUAGGCCCUAGGCACUUGUAGGAGUAGUUGCUAUCAAUUUUUCAGAAAAUGAUGAAGAGAUUUUUGAGGGGCUCAUCGAGCCGAAGCUCAAUGGAAAAGCAAAACGAAGAAGCAUAGAGGCCCAAAUAUACUUUUCCUCGCACCGCGGAGGUCCGGCCGUGUGAAUGGCCUUCCGAUGAUUUCUUGAGAGAAGCCGGGAUUUAUAAUGAUUUCUAUUCAUUGGUUGAGAAUGUUGGCCUCACCGACUUCCUUCGCGACCAACGCAAACAGUAUCUUUUACUCACCAAUACUUUUCGGGGGUAGUUUAGAGGAAUCACCUCCUUCAGUAGAGUUUCAUUUAUAUGAUGUGGUUAAGAAGGUGUCACUAUAUGAAUUCCGCAGGGUUUGCAAAGUACCUUUCGGGGGUAGUUUAGAGGAACCACAUCGCAAGGAUGUGGAUGGGUUUAUUGAGACAAUUACUGUAGGGGAAACUAGGGAGCCUUCCGAUGCAAGAAUCACUAGCAUACAUUUUCCUGUUUUACGCUAUUUUUGCAAUAUUUGCUAGUCGUUGCUUAAUUAGUCGCGGAAAUUGUGGAAACCUUAGUGUCCCUGAUAUUACCCUUCUGCUCCAUGGUUUAUAUUCUGAUAACACUGUUAGUAUGGGCGGUAUUAUUGCUAAACGGUUAAGUCUGAACCGUACUAAGGGCCCCAUCUUUGGUGGUAUUUAUGCUUCACGCCCUGCUGCACAUUAUAAUAUACCUAUUAGGCACUAUGAAAAAGAAGAAAAAUUGUUGUCUACUAUUUAUUUAGAUUAGAAGAGUAUGGUAGCGCAUGAUUUUAUUAUAAAGAAUAGGGAAGGGGAGCUGAAAUACAAACUGUUCUUCGAUAAAUGUCAUCCUGAGACUAUCACCUUGCCUGCUCCUUCCUUGUUUGAUUUAUCCUCAGGAAAGUACCUCGUUUCGCUGGAGGAUAUUCACGCCCACCCGAACCCUACAUCAGCCACCGAGCCAGAGUCGGAACCACAAGUUGAUCCUCCACGACAGUCUAAUUACCUGUGGGAUCCGGAGAUGAUUGCCAACCAGUGGCAAUCAGAGCCUUCCUCAUCUCAGUAUGACCCCAACUACUACUAUGGAUAUCAGCCAGGCCAACCGUGGCCAUAGACCAACUUAGGCCAAAAGCCUAAGCUUGGGGGAGUACGUAUUUCUCACCGACAUUAUAUUCAUGUUCACACACUCAUUGCUGGAUAUCGGUGCUCAUACUUUUUCAUUGUAUCAUCCAUGCUAGUUUAUUUUCCUUUUCAUGCUUUCUUCUUGUGUGUUGAAUAAACCUUAAGAAAUACCAAGAAAAAUAGUUGCAACUUUUAAUUAGUUUACUUUCCAUGCUUGUAGUAGUAAUUAAAAAAGGAACCCCAAAAAUAUUUCUUGUUCUUCUUUUGCUUGUUGGGAGCUUUCCCGUGUAAAUAGUUUUAUUUCCUUUUCUUUUCUUUGGGGGUUGAUAGGAGAAGACCAUAAUUAAAUUGUUGAAGUGGCUCUUAUAUGCAUUAUUGACAAAAGAGCCCAUAUUGCCUUGUCUUCUCCUGCUUAUUGAAUGCUUGCAGAUUCCAGCUUAGUCCAAUGCACGUGCACUAUUAUUAUUAUUCACAUUGUUCGGUCGUGCAAGUGAAAGGCAAUUAUGACGAUAUAUGAUGGACUGACUGAGAUGAGAAAAGCUGGUAUGAACUCGACCUUAUUUGUUUUUGUAAAUAUGAUUAGUUCAUCGUUCCUGAUUCAGCUUAUUAUGAAUAAACCUGUUUGCAAUGACAACUAGAGAUCAUAGUUUCUUGUGCCAUGCUUGAUUAGCUAUGAGUUAUAAUGGUUUUCCUUGCAUGCCAACAUGCUAUUAAAAUGGUUGUGAUGUGGUAUGAUAGUGUGGUAUCCUCCUCUGAAUGAUUUAAGUGACUUGACUUGGCACAUGUUCAUGCAUGUAGUUGAAACAAAAUCAACAUAGCCUUCACGAUAUUUAUGUUCAUGGUGGAUUAUAUCCUACUCAUGCUUGCAUUCAGUGUUGAUUAAUUUUAAUGCAUGUUCAUGACUGUUGUCGCUCUCUAGCUGGUCACUUCCCAGUCUUUUGCUAGCCUUCACCUGUACUAAGCGGGAAUACAGCUUGUGCAUCCAAUCCCAUAAACCCCAAAGUUAUUCCAGAUGAGUCCACUAUACCUUCCUAUAUGCGGUAUCUACCUGCCGUUCCAAGUAAAUUUGUAUGUGCCAAACUCUAAACCUUCAAAUAUUCAUCCUGUUUUGUAUGCUCGAAUUGCUCAUGUAUCAACUAGGGCUGUCUGUAUCUUCCAUGUUAGGCGGGUUAUUCUCAAGAGGAGUGGACUCCGCUCCUCACUCACGAGAAAGUGGCUGGUCACUGGGAUGCCCAGUCCCAUGCUUUAUGCAAACUAAAUCAAAAUAAUUUCAAACAAAACUCCCCCUGGGACUGUUGUUAGUUGGAGGCACUCCUUGUUUCGAGCAAGCCAUGGAUUGAUGCUUGUUGGUGGAGGGGGAGUAUAAACUUUACCAUUCUGUUUGGGAACCGCCUAUAAUGUGUGUAGCAUGGAAGAUAUUGCCAUCUCUUGGUUGUUAUGUUGACAAUAAAAGUAUACCGCUCAAAAUAUUAUUCAUCUCUAUUUCAAAACCGAGCUCUGGCCCCUCUACAAAUCCCUGCUUCCCUCUGCGAAGGGCUUAUCUAUUUACUUUCAUGUUGAGUCAUCAUCCUCUUAUUAAAAAGCACCAGUUGGAGAGCACCACUAUCAUUUGCAUUCAUUACUGUUAUUUUACAUUGAGUAUGACUUGACUGGAUCUCUUUUACCAUGAAUUACAAUGUCUAGUCAGUCCUUGGUCUUUAAAGAUGCUCUGCAUUUACGUUUUGCAGUCUCAGAAAGGGCUAGCGAGAUACCAUCUUGUUAUAUCAUAUUAUGAUUAUUUUGAGAAAGUGUUGUCAUCUGAGAUUUAUUAUCAUUGCUCGCUAGUUGAUUAUGCCAAUGAUAUGAGUAAACAUGAGACCUAAGCGUUAUUGUGAAUGUGGUUAGUCAUAAUCUUUGUUGAACACUUGAAUGCUGGCUUUACAUAUUUAUAACAACAAGAGCAAACAGAGUUUGUAAAAGUUUUUCUUUAUCACUUUCAGUUUAUCAACUGAAUUGCUUGAGGACAAGCAAUGGUUUAAGCUUGGGGGAGUUGAUACGUCUCCAUCAUAUCUACUUUUCCAAACACAUUUUCCCUUGUUUUGGACUCUAACUUGCAUAAUUUGAAUGGAACUAACCCGGACUGACGUUGUUUUUAGCAGAAUUGCCAUGGUGUUAUUUAUGUGAAGAAACAAAAGUUCUCGGAAUGACAUGAAACUUCACGGAACAUCUUUUCGGAAAUAAUAAAAAAUCCUUGCAAAAGAUGAAGACCAGGGGGCCCACCACCUGUCCACGAGGGUGGAGGGUGUCCCCCCUAGGGUGCGCCCCCCCUACCUUAUGGGCCCCCUGGAGCUCCUCCGAUCUCAACUCCAACUCUAUAUAUUUGGUUUCGGAGAGAAAAAAAUCAUAGAGAAAUAUUCAUCGUGUUUUACGAUACGGAGCCGCCGCCAAGCCCUAAAACCUCUCGGGAGGGCUGAUCUGGAGUCCGUUCGGGGCUUCGGAGAGGGGAAUCCAUCGCCAUCGUCAUCAUCAACCAUCCUCCAUCACCAAUUUCAUGAUGCUCACCGCCGUGCGUGAGUAAUUCCAUCAUAGGCUUGCUGGACAGUGAUGGGUUGGAUGAGAUCUAUCAUGUAAUCGAGUUAGUUUUGUUAGGGUUUGAUCCCUAGUAUCCACUAUGUUCUGAGAUUGAUGUUGCUAUGACUUUGCUAUGCUUAAUGCUUAUCAAUAGGGCCCGAGUGCCAUGAUUUCUGAUCUGAACCUAUUAUGUUUUCAUCAAUAUAUGAGUGUUCUUGAUCCUAUCUUGCAAGUCUAUAGUCACCUACUAUGUGUUAUGAUCCGGCAACCCCGAAGUGACAAUAAGCGGGACCACUCCCGGUGAUGACCAUAGUUUGAGGAGUUCAUGUAUUCACUAUGUGCUAAUGCUUUGUUCUGGUACUCUAUUAAAAGGAGGCUUAAUAUCCCUUAGUUUCCAUUAGGACCCCGCUGCCAUGGGAGGGUAGGACAAAAGAUGUCAUGCAAGUUCUUUUCCAUAAGCACGUAAGACUAUAUUCGGAAUACAUGCCUACAUUGCAUUGAUGAAUUGGAGCUCGUUCUGUGUCACCCUAUGUUAUGAUUGUUACAUGAUGAGCCGCAUCCGGCAUAAUUCUCCAUCACCGAUCCAUUGCCUACGAGCUUUCCACAUAUUGUUCUUCGCUUAUUUACUUUUCCGUUGCUAUUGCUAUCAUCACUACAAAAUACCAAAAACAUUACGUUUGCUACUGUUCCCUUUUGCUACCGUUACCACUACUAUCAUAUUACUUUGCUACUAAAUACUUUGCUGCAGAUAUUAAGUUUCCAGGUGUGGUUGAAUUGACAACUCAGCUGCUAAUACUUGAGUAUAUUCUUUGGCUCCCCUUGUGUCGAAUCAAUAAAUUUGGGUUGAAUACUCUACCCUCGAAAACUAUUGCGAUCCCCUAUACUUGUGUGUUAUCAGCUGCUUUCUGUGCCCACUUCAUUCCUCAGGGAGUCGUGGACCGGAAGAAGCGUGAGUUCCGCAGCCUCACCCAGGGCAACAAAACUGUCAAAGCUUAUCAGCGGGAGUUUCUGGAUUUAUCCUGCUAUGCUGAAGAAGACACUGCAACUGAUGCACGCAGACAGGAGAAGUUUCGUGAUGGCCUUCAAGCUGACAUCAAGCUCGCACUUCUAGUGCAUGACUUUGCUGAUUUUGCCACCUUGGUGAACAAGGCCAUCAAUGUCGAAAUUGGUCUGCGGGAACACCAGAGCUCUCACACGCGCAACCGUGACACAGGCUCAUCUUCGGGCCCGUCCUCGCAGAAGCAUAGGAUAUGGAUUCCCAACAGCAUGUACCAGCUAACUGCACCUGCUCCAAGACAGUCCUAUGCUGCAUCGCGUCUGCCUCCCCCACCAACUAGGCAGCUAACACUUCCAGCUCCACCAUCCCGAGCUCCUGUUCCCACUCCCAAUAAUGGUCCGUGCUACAACUGUGGUCAACCAGGUCACCUCGCCAGGAACUGCUUUCAGAACCAGAAUCAACUGGCCCUUCCCAUAGCUGGCCGUGGAAGCAACCAUCCCUGCAACACCAAUGCCAGGUCUUAUGGUCGUGUUCAUGCCAACCACAUUGAUCUCAAUAAAGCUCAAGACCAGCCUGCUACUGUGAUGGGUACACUCCUCGUAAAUUUAGUACCUGCAUCUGUUUUAUUCGAUUUAGCAGCAUCGCAUUCAUUCAUGUCAGAAGAUUUUGCAUACAAGCACGACGUUAGAUGUGAGGAUAUGAACACUUUGGUAGUGGUAAAAACCCCCAUCGGACAAUGUCAAACCUCCAUGGUUGGCAUCGACGUCCCCGUGGAAAUCGAAGGGAUGGAAUUCUAUGCCUCUCCCAUUAUCCUGAAGUCAUCUAACAUCGACCUCAUUCUGGGGAUGGAUUGGUUGAAAGCGCACACUGCUUCUAUAGUUUGCACCACUAAGACCGUCCAUCUGCUACACCCUUCUGAUGAAAUAGUUACUUACCAGGCUCAUCUGGUUCAGAAUGCCGAGGCACAGCUUUAUGCCUUGAAUGCAUUGAACGUUGCACCACUCGAGGGCAUUGAAAACAUUCCCGUCAUUUGCAAAUUCCAAGACGUCUUUCCGGAAGAACUUCCAGGGAUUCCCCCUGCUAGAGCUGUCGAACUCAUCAUCAACUUGAAACCAUGCACCACCCCUAUAGCCAAACGACCCUACAAGAUGCCACCGCAUGAACUCAUUGAGCUUAAGGAGGAAAUCGACAAAUCUCUUUGCAAAGGUUUCAUUCACCCUAGUUGCUCUCCUUGGGGAGCACCUUCUCUCUUUGUUAAUAAGACAGAUGGGACAAACUGAUUAGUCGAAGAUUAUCGUCCUAUUAACCAAGCCACCAUCCAGAACAAAUAUCCCCUCCCUCGAAUCAAUGAUCUUUAUGAUCAACUGGCGGGUUCAUCAGUGUUCUACAAACUCAACUUGAGGUUGGGUUACCACCAGAUCUGUGUUCGUGAAGAGGAUAUCCCAAAGACCGCCUUCGUGACUCGAUAUGGAUCAUACGAGUACACCGUCAUGUCAUUCGGCUUAAUGAAUGCUCCACCCACCUUCUCUCGUCUGAUGAACUAUAUAUUCAUGGAUUACAUCGACAAGUUCAUCGUGGUUUAUCUGGAUGAUAUCCUUGUAUUUUCCAAGAACAAAGAAGAACAUGCUGAACAUCUUCGCCUUGUGUUGGAAAAGCUUCGAGAGCCUCAACUCUACGCUAAGUAUUCCAAGUGUGAAUUCUGGCUCCCCGAAGUAACCUAUCUUGGGCAUGUCAUCUCCAAGGAUGGUAUUGACGUCAACCCUGAACGAGUCCAGGCUAUUCUCGAUUGGACUCCUCCGAAGAAUGUCAACCAAGUCCAAAGUUUUCUCGGUCUCGCUAGCUGUUGUCGUCGAUUCGUCAAGAACUUCUCCAAGAUUGCCAGGCCCCUGACUAACCUGUUGCAUAAGAGCGUCAAGUUCCAAUGGACAGACAAGUGUCAGGAAAGUUUCCAGGCGCUCAAAGACAAGUUGACUUCUGCCCCAGUGCUUGCUCCACCUGAUACUAAGAAGGAGUUCGUCGUUUACGGCGACGCUUCCCGUCAAGGAUUAGGCUGUGUCCUAAUGCAAGAGCGCAGAGUGAUUGCUUAUGCCUCUCGUCAACUGCGCCCUCAUGAAGAAAACUACCCAGUUCACGACCUCGAGCUUGCUGUUGUCAUUCAUGCUCUGAAUCAGUGGCUCUCGAUAAUCAUUGCGAGAUCUUCACCGACCACCAAAGUCUGAAGUAUCUGUUUACUCAGCCAGACCUGAACCUCCGUUGGCAGAGAUGGAUGGAGACUAUUGCGGACUUUGACUUGGGCAUCUCCUAUACACCAGGAAAGGAUAAUGUAAUGGCUGAUGCCUUGAGCCGCUAGUCUUACUGCAACCACCUCCAGGUUCAAAAAGUUCAGCCCUUGUUUGUCAAAGAGUUUAGAAAGUUGAACCUUCAUAUUGUCCCUCCUAGUGCACUUGCUCCCCCUCCCCCAGAGUUCUAAAAGAUGAAUCUUCGUGUUGUUACUAGGGGUUGUCUAAAUACCCUGGCUGUCGUAUCAGAUCUCGUAGACGGUAUAAAGACUAUUCAAGGUUAUGACUCUGAAGUCCAGAAGAUUAAACGCCAUCUCGCAGAAGGAAAGCCCUCAUUCUUCAAUGUCACCGAUGAUGGCGCCUUGUACUUCAAAGGCCGCCUAGUGGUACCAUGUUCGAGGAAAAACCUGGAUCGGACUAAAAAGGUUAUGAAAGAAGCUCAUGAUACUCCUCUGUCCAUCCAUCCUCGUAGUAAAAAGAAGUACCAGGAUAUUCGUUAGAGAUUCUGGUGGUCUAAUAUGAAGCAAGACAUUGCUCGAUAUGUUGCUGAGUGUGACGUUUGCCGCCGUAUCAACGCAUAGCAUCAAAGGCCUGCUGGAACUCUGCAACCUAUCACUAUUCUUGAAUGGAAAUGGGACCAUGUUGAAAUGGACUUCGUCACUGGAUUUCCCAAAUCGUAGAAAGGUAAUGAUGCUAUUCUUGUCGUCAUUGACCGGCUUUCUAAAGUUGCACAUUUUCUAACGGUCAAAGAAACAAUCACUGCUAGUCAGCUUGCAACUCUCUACAUGUCCAUAAUUGUUUCACUUCACGGUAUUCCACUGGUUAUCAGUUCAGACCGUGGCAGCUUGUUCACUUCAAGAUUCCAGACUAGUUUCCAAGAAGCUAUGGGAACUCAUCUGUCGUUUAGUACUGCGUUUCAUCCUCAGUCGCAAGGACAAGUUGAACGUGUCAACCAAGUUCUCGAAGACAUCCUUCGAGCUUGUGUAAUUUCCUUUGGCAAGAAAUGGGAGGAAUCUCUUCCGUAUGCCAAGUUCUCUUAUAAUAAUAGCUAUCAAGCUAGUCUGAUGAUGGCUCCCUUCGAAAUAUUAUAUGGACGAAGUGUCGAACCCCUCUGAACUGGUCAGAAACUAGGGAACGUCCACUCUUUGGUCCGGAUAUUAUCCAACAUGCUGAAGAACAAGUCCGCUUUAUUCAUGAGAAUCUCAAGACUGCUCAGUCACGUCAGAAGAGUCAGUAUGACCGUCAUCAUAAAGACAUGGUCUAUCAACCUGGCAAAAAGGCUUAUCUUCGAGUUACACCAAUGAAGGGUGCUCACCGCUUUGGGAUUAAGGGCCAGCUAGCUCCUCGCUAUAUUGGCCCAUUCACUAUUCUUGAAAGGUGUGGAAAAGUGGCAUAUCAACUGGAGCUUCCGCCGAACCUUUCUCAGGUUCACGAUGUGUUCCACGUGUCACAGCUCUGCCGUUGCUUCAAGGACCCAAUCCGAGUAGUGGAUUAUCAAGUGCUCGAAUUGCAACAUGACCUCUCCUAUAAAGAUCAUCUGGUCUGCAUUCUCGAUCAAGCCCAACACCGCACAUGUCAGAAGGCGAUCAAAUUCCUCAAGGUCCAGUGGUCGCAUCACUCUGAAGAAGAAGCCACUUGGGAACGUGAGGAUCACCUGCAUGCUGAAUACCCAGCAUUGUUUCCUUCUACCUCCUAAAAUCUCGGGACAAGAUUUCUUGUAGUGGAGGAGUUUUGUAACGCCCGGAUAGUUAAGCUACAGUAAAACUCUGUUAAUGAUGCCACGACACGUCCGUUACUGUUGCUAAUCUCUCGUUAGAUCAAAACCGAUUCGAAUUAUCAAUUCAAAAUAUGGCAAACAACAAAAGUUUUCAAAACAUUGUAACAAAAAAAGUUCGGUGGGUGCCAAAUAUUGCACUGGUAAUUAUUGUGGAGAAAACUCAUUUUUAGAAAUUGCCUAAAUAUUUAAAAAUGAUUUAAAACAGAAAAGAAAAUAAAUAAAAGAAAAGGAAUAAAA